UAAGUUUUGCAUGUCCUAGUCCAAUCCUCAGCAGGCCGUCUUCUGCAUUGUUCUUCUCAUCUUUUGAUAGUGCAUUUUUCUCUACUUCUUGACGGUCAGAACGAGAAUCUAACAUCUUUCUAUUAAGGUCUAAUGUUGUUGUCUCUCCGUCUUUCUCGACUGGAUUUUGCUUGUCUGUACCUACAUUUUCCUUUUGCUGCCCCUUGUUCUUCCCAUCAUGUGGAGGAGAGAAGCUUUGUGGAAGUACCUCUCUGGAGAAGAGGGCUUGAAAAGCCAGUCGUCCCUGAAUAAGCAGUGAAGCCGUAUAGCGAUCAAUGUACAAUACAAUUAGAAUAAUAAUCAAGUUAAGCUAUAUAGGAAAAUUGACACAUCAACUCACCUCUUCAGAUACCUCCUUCCAAGAAUCACUAAGGUUACUGCUGCUUCUACUACGACGGUUACAUUCAACUUGUGGAUGAUUUGGAUCAGCUCCUUUUGAAUCUUCCUUGUCUUUUUCAAGUUUUUCUAACAUGUCUGUCUCUACCUCACUACUUGAAUUGGAACCACAUGAGGACCGGUCAACUUGUUUUCUGUUCUUCAUUUUAUCUGCAUCCUGAGGCUCAAUUACUUCAGCAGCCUUCUCAUCAUCAGUAGCUUUCACUUCAGUAUUCGCUUUUGCAUCUACUCUCUCUUCACAGUCUGAUGAUGAUGAAGUAGGUGAUUUAGAUGCUGAAUGCUGACCUGGCAAAGCUUCAGAGUAUUCAGGGUAUAGUCGUUCAUCCUGAGUAGUUAGGGCUAGAUCAGUUUUAUCUUUUUGUUCCAUAUUUGCAGCUGGAAUUUGACCAUUCUCCAUUGGUGGAACUGCAGCAGUGGAUGCAGGAGCACAGGUAAAGCCUGUGUGCAGAGGAGCACAUAUAGGAAGCAGUCCAUGGGCGGUCCACCAUGCAGUGGCAGCUGCUACUGUUGCAGCAGCAAUUGCGGCCAUACUAGGAGCAGAGUUCAUUUGUGUAGAUGGGAAACCUCUUAGUUCAUUUGCAGGAGAAUCGCCAGAACUUUCAAUGUUUGCAUAUGGCCAAAAUGUAGCUGCAAAACUUGCUGCAGCAUGAGCAGCUGGAUUCUGUAACAAAGUAGAUACAAUGAGAUUGGAAAAAGUGGAGCUGACAUGUAGAAAGGAUCGAUACUCCUCUUGAUCGGGCCGAAGAUGUAUAAAGGGAGUAUGAAAAGGUGGCAAUGCCUGAUGAGUAGAUUUUGGUGCAUUAUUCUUAUGUUCAGUAGUUGCUGAUGCAGCUGGAUUUGCAAACAGGUUAGGUCCAUGAACAUUGCCCGUAGGGUGAAAUACAGAAUCUUGAAAUGACAUACCCAGGGAAGGAUUUUGAACACAUGUUCUAAGGCUUCCAUCUAGGACAUGCACAGCAACAUGCCGAGGAUAAUUUUGAGCAGCUUGCAUCUCAUCUGCACAAAAAUCACCAUCCAAAUCAUCUUUUCUCUGGCCUUGAGCUGAUUUCUCAUAUGAAGUGCAAGACUUCUCCAAGUUUGAAGCCUUACUUGUACCAUUAUCAUGAAAUGUCUGUUGGACAUUAAGUUUAUAAGGUUCACAAAUUUCUUUAAGUUCAAGAAUAACAUAGAAUUCAUGUUUUUCAUGAUUUACUACCUCUUUUGGCAAAGGUACAAACUCCCUGAAUGUACAAGAGCUUUUGAGUGCAGUUGACAUUGGUAUAAAAUUCUUAUUCAUGGAAGACGCAGAGGAGCAGUUUUGUUCGUGGAGAAGGGUAAAAACCUCAGAGCAACUCUGGUCUUGAUUUUCUUUCAGGUUUGUAGCCUUUUCAUCUCCAGUAGGUCUCUGACAAACACAAUAUAUUUGAAGCUUACGUUAAAAAGGAGAAAAGAAAAAGAACAUAAUUAAGAGCAUGAAUAAAGUAGUUGAGGAGGAGAAAGAAACCUCCGGAAGUGGUUCUUUCUCCAAGUCCAACAUUUGCUUGCAACGCAAAGAAGAUAAUGGCAUUUCAGAUUUUCCAUCCUUAGCUCCCUCUUGUACUGUAGUAGCAGCACCAGUUUUUCGAGGAUAAGGAUUGCUUGGUUUUCUUUUAGGGCGUGGAGGUGGAAUCUCUAUGUCAAGAGCUUGACCUAUUGGUACACCUUUAGCAAGUGCCUCCUUCUCCAACUGAGAAUGGAUUAUUGUCAGUAGCAUCAAUAAAAUGAUAAAACAUAAGAGAAAUCUUACGAGUUUUUGGAGGCACCAAUGAAGCAUCAAUAUAAUAUUAACAAUGUGCAACACUAAAAUUAAUGAUAGGAAUGACAUAACUAAAUGCAACAUGAUCAUAUCUAACCAGUAUAAUUCCAAAUAUUAUCAGGAAACAAGAAGUCCAAGUAUAUAAUUGCUCUACAAUCUACAAAUAUCUCACACAGGAGGUUCAUACAAAAUUUUAUACUCCUGUUGUCAAUUAAUAUGGCCUGUUUUAUAACAUUAGAUUAGAUUAGAUUCUUCUUUUAUCCUUUCAUCCCAUAACAUGUCUGCUCAAGACUCGUCAGCAAUAUAAUACUUGAAUGUAGCAGACAUAAACACAGCCCACAGUUGAACAUAUACAUAGACAAAGAUUGACUAAAUAAAAAAGGGGGGGCUGGUUUAGCCGAGCAGUCAGUUCUGCUCGGCUAAACCAACCCCCCAUUUUACUAGGAGAAGAGAGGAUUAGCUGUAUUUAGAUGAAAAGAAAAUUACCAGUGGUUUCUUAAGAAACACAGUUUAGGUACUGCAUAAAUAAGAUUAAUCAAACCAUCUAUAAUGUUCAUUGUCAUGUAAAAUUGAGAUCAUUAAAGGUUAGGACUUCAGACUGAAGAAAGUAUUUGAUAAAGCUUUAACCAUAAUAUUCUUGAACAAUCUUCAUUUGCUUACUGUCCUGAUAAGAUUUAUCACUCACGAGCUAAUCGAGAUAAAAAUGUUAUGCAUGCAUUUGUUUGCGACAUCAGAAAUAUGAAAAGGAAAAAAAGAAGGAAGUAAUGCAUUACCAUGUACCUAACUUUAACAUAAUUGGCAGGUGACUGCCGAUAACCUGCAGGAAAUAAGUCUUUAAGAGAAGAAUCCAGUAAAAUCUUACUUUUACUGAAGAUGUAUACUUAAGGAGGAUAAUCGCUUAAGACAGACCUAUAGGAUGCAUACCUCAAAUCAAACAUCAUAAUUAGCUACAAGGCACAUCUAACAGACAUGCUGCUGUGAGCUUGGCUGCAAAACUUAAGGUACUAUGGGGAAGAUUGAUCCCAGUAUGAUCACCUAGAAGGUAUAAUAUAGUUUCAAUUAGGACUUAUCUUUCUGAUUAAAAGAAAAAUAUGCAGAUCAGAAUUUUAUGUUCCACAUUACUAGGAAAGGAAAUUAGUUGUAUCAUAAAUGAUAACAUCUAUAUAGAAGGUAUGAUCCUUAAGCAUAAAUGAGUACCCAUCUUGCAUUUCAAGCUCUCCCAAUUCCCAGAAAUGGAAGAACAAAAAUAAAAUUCAUUUUUUAGAUCUAACGAGUAUCUGGCUCACACCAGCAAUAUGGCUAAUGUUUGAAGAGAUUUCUCACCAGUAAUCUAAAGUUCUAAACACAUCAACAAACUCUAUAAUUCAACAAAUUCGUGUCAUCCCUGCUAGUACUAACUACUACUCAUCAUAUCCACUCUAAUGUUAGAUAAGAUCAUUUGGUAUUAUGAGAUCAACAUCUUCAACAGCCCUAAACUAAGUAGAUAUAAGCCCUAAACUUCCACCACAUAAAGGAGAUAAUAAAAAGUAGGCAAUAAAAUGCAAAAAAGAUAUAAGCCCUUGAGAUAUUGUCUUGAAAGGAUGUGAAACUUGCCACUAUAAAAGCUUUUAACAAAAAAAUGAUCCUAAAAUCAAAAGCUAUAAGCUAUCAAAUUUACCCUAACUGCAGAUUCAUUGCCAACCUUGGAUGCUGAUGAAUUGAACUAUUAGCAACCUUGAGAUGCUCUACACAUAAAGGAUACACUAAGCGGUAAUUCUAACUUGCAAUGACUAGCAUACUGGCCAUGGAUGCUAAAGAUUUCAGUUUAAACCAGAACCAAAAUCUAUGCAUAUAAUAUAGCAACAAAGAACAUGAUAGGUGGGCUCACCCCAAAUUCACUUCCUAGUUCUAUACCUCAUAAUGAUGUAUUUUCACUCUGUAUACAAACUCACUUCUUAGUUCUUACUAUACCUCAUAAUGGUGUGUUUUCACUCUCUAUACAAAUUUAGACUACAUGUAUCUACAUGACCCUUUUAUCCAAAGAAACCAAAUAUUUUAACUUUCAAAACCUCUGCUGUGGUAGGUUAAGUACAAAAUUGCUUCAGCAAGUUCCCAGACAAGAGGAUGCCUUGCACAUAAAAGGUUAGUGAAGGGCACAUUAGAAAAAAACCUUUUAUGACAACUUAAAAAACCAAAAAUGCCCUUUUUUAUUUCGGACUCCAAGGGUGAUAAACCAUCUUGCGCAGCCAAUUUCGUACAGAGACCAAAUAAAGAGAAUUCAAAUAGCUUACAUCCCCAAAAUCAAAUUCGUAGGGAAGAUAAAAGGCUAUCACCCUAAAUACGGUUUAAAUAUUUAGCAGCUCAGAUUCUUAUUUAACUCAAGUUGCUGCCUUUUCUAUAUAUAUUAAUAAACAAACUCCAGUGUACUUCUUUACAUAGUUGGUUAUAAUUUUGAUCGGUCAUAUAUGAUUGAUGUUUUUGACACAGAAAGCUAUACAUUCGCUUCGUAUAUUUUCUUUGUUGUUUUAAAUCUAACAAAUUUGUUUAUACAAGUGAGAAAAUGAAGUAAUAGAAUAAUCAGUAAGAUUUCCCAACCGUUCAAGAUAGUACAGUUGACGAUUCGAUAUUUCAUAUAUCUCAAGCAGAAACAAGAAUUAAGCAGCAGAAAAAAAUUACAUUGAACAUAGGCAUAAGCAUAAACAAGAAGGCACCAAAUGACCUUUGAAAAGAACUUUUGAGCAUGACUCCUGAUCUGCACAGCUGUCUUUGUUCCUAUAUAUUCUGCAAAUCACCAUGUAAAAACAAAAUGGAAAGAAAAAUACAACAAUAAAUAACAAAACUAUUCAGUUGUUGGUCCUAACAAACAUAUCCUACGAAUCUUAGCCUCAAUCCACAAAAACACUAGCUCUAAAAUGAUAGCAGCAAAAUCUAAACUAAGAGGGAAAAAGCAAGUGAAAAAACCUUCAAUGCGUUGCCAAGCUCGUCCAUAGAGCUUCAAGGCCUCUAGAAACCUAUUAUGCUCUUCCUCGCUCCAUCUUUCACGUUGUUUCGUAAUAGUAUAAGGCUUCCUAGUCUAUCAUUUAACAUACAAAAUUCAAUGGUCCAAAUUAUAACAAACACAAACCCCCAUUUUUUUACAAAGCUUCAUUUAAGAGAAGAGUUUACCUUAAUAACUAGUUCUUCACCAGAGGAGUAUGUGUCCAUUGAAACAGCGUCACCGCUGCUUCAAAUCCUCUCUAACAAGCAAAGAGUAUAUCACAAACCUCCUUUCAUUUCUUCCAACAUCCAAUACGACAAAUAGUAAUGCCGUUUUUGAGCUCCACAAAACCUGAUGAAUGCUAUUUAAUACUGCAAAAAGAAAAAACACAAAAGAACAACAACAACAAAUCGAUGGAGAUCCGUCUCUGUUUGUAUUUUUAUUCCAAUUAAAUUAAUAUUAAUUUCUCAUCAUUUAAUAAAAAUAUUUACUUAAUAAAAAUUUGGGGUGAAUGCUAAAUCUCUGGAAAAAUUAAAAUAAAAUAAAUAAAAAUUAAGUAUCCACCGUAACAAAGAGAAGAGACGGCUUCUUCCAAAGAACUUAAAAGAAAAUUCUCACCAAAACGAACCCGUAGACGCCAAAACCUUUAAUAGAAAAUGAUACGAAAAAAAAAAAGAAACUUUAAUUAGUAAUCAACAACACACUUCCACUGUUCCACAUCCAAUCUAUCUAUUGACAGCCAAUAAUAAUUCUUCACCUUCUGUUUGGUCGCCGAGAAAAAAAACAAAAGGAUUCAAAUUCAAUCACUUUUCUUUCGUUACUCUACUCAGCUGCAUAUAAAGAACACAACUUCCAAACUCAGCUUAGCAAAGCCUUUAAGGAAGGCCCUAGAAAUGAAGUGUAAAUACCUUAAAGAGAUAACCAUGGAAGAUGACAACAAUGGAAGCAACGAUCACGUAUCAAAAAUGGGUUCACCGGAAACCAGCCGGAGAGCUCAUAGUUUCCGGCAAUGACAAGAUCGGAAUCAACAGAAUUGGAAAAAUUAAAAGUAGUCUUUUUUGGGAGAAAAGAACUUGAAUAAACCCAAAAAAAAAAAGUGAAAGCAAGCUUAUUUUCUGGUGAUAAACUGAAAAAACACCAGAAACUACAGUAUGGGGAAGAAACAAAAGGAGAAAUCUCAGCCACUACAAUUUCAUGAGGAUUUUUUUUUUGGAAAAUUACAAAAAUUGGGCAGAAAAUUAUGUGAGGCUAUAAAAGAAUGAACGGUAAGAUACAUUAGAUGUUGCCAAGUGGCAAUAAUUUAGUGGCUGAUUCAACUAAAAGCCCACCGUUGCACUUUUUCCCUUAUUUUUUUGAUCUUUUUUUCUUUUUGCCCUUCUUGUUUCCUACCUUCAUCUUCAAAUAUCAGCCACAAGCUCCCAAUGGUCUUGGUGUUAAAUUAGUAAAAGCGCCAUUUGGUAUACCACAUGGUUCCUGCCGUCAACGUUUACGCAAUUCGUUGGCGUGGGCAACCGGUACGUGUCGGUUACAGGGGUAGCUUUGGUGUUAAAAGCACCGGAUUUGUGACCAUUAGCCACCGUAUGAGGUGAUGAGAUUUUAGGGUUGCAACAAAUCUAGGGAUAUGCUAUGCUCCCUUCCAUAAGUACUUGUAUUUUUUAUAGAUUUGAAAUUUAGUUCCUGUACUUUUAUUUUUAGGAAUUUAGUCAUUUUACUUUUCAAAUUUUUAAAUUCAGGUUUUACUGUUAACAUUGUUAAAAUUAUUUGUUAAAUUCAAGUUCAUUAUAAUAUUAUUUUUUUAGUUAAGUUGCUACCAAGUGAAUUUUUUUUUAUUUCAAUAUGUAAUAUAAGCCAAUUUAACGAAAAAAAUUAUAACAAUGUUAACAAUUGAACCUAAAUUUUGAAAUAUAGAAAGUAAAGAGACUAAAUUUUAAAUUUACAAAGAGUACAGGGACAUGACAUAUUUUAACCUUUUUUAUUAAACUUGUGAGUUACAACUUAAUUCCUAAAUUUGAAUUUCAUUAGAGUAUAUUAGCGUGUCGCUCUAAUAUUAGGUCACAUUGUCAUUUGAAAAUUUUAAAAAUUUUAUAUGAUAUCUAAAGAAUGCAAAAGGAAAAAAUUAAAGAAAUUCAUGUGGCGAUGGGAGAUAAUCUUAUAAUGUCACAUUAUUAUACUUUAACAAGAUCUAAGAUAAGAAACCAAAUUGAGAAAAACUAUCAAGCUUAAAGACUAAUGUGGAUAAAAAAAAAGUUGAAGGAUCAAGAUGAAAAUUUUAUCAAAUUUAAGAUCUAAAUGUUGCUUUAUGAUUAUUUUUUUUUAUCUUUUUAAGAUAAGAGUAAACUCCAUCAAUAUUCUCUAAACUUCAUUUAAAAAAAUGAUGUAUCAUGUUUUGCCAUUAAUAAUAAUCAGACUAAGCUCAUUUUAAAACAACGCCCCUAUUUAUUGUAAUGAUAUAGCAUUAUUCUUAUUCAAGUGCCUUGAUGUCCUCCGCUAAUGGUUGGAGCCUCCAAUCGAUGGACCUUACAUCCUGCUCAAAACUCUUGCAUAAAGCUUUCAUGUUAGGUGCAAAGAUACCAAUAGUGAAUCCAAACCUCUUUGCCUCAAUCAUUGCUUCUCUUAUUACGAAUAAAAUAGCUUGCUUAGUGGUAACCUCAUGUAAUGUGCUACAAAAACUUGUAAAUUUUAUUCAUUGAAUAUUAAAGAUUGUUAGAGACACUCCGAGGAAGAUAGUCCCUUUCUUCCAAGCUACCAAAGCAAUUCCCGAUAUAGUACCAUGAGGAACAUUCGAUCUAAUUGAUUUGCUCUGUUGUAUUCGAAAAUACCUCUCCGUAGCAUUCUUCCAUUUCUUGUCCUCAAACACCUAUAUUUCAUAGUCCUUGAAGAUUUCAAACCCUGUUGAUUACACUUAAGGAUUAACAUCAUAUCCUUUAAAAUAAUAUUCAUUUAUAUGAAUCCGUAUAUUCUAUAAGAUGCAAAUAAUCACUUAAUGCGUAUCAUCUAUUAAUAAAAGAGAAAAAUUGAUGUUGAUUGUAACACCCCUAACCCGUAUCCGCUGCCAGAACAGGGUUUCAGAGCAUUACUACCAUUUACAGAUCACUAAAAAAAAUUUAAAUACUUACCGAUUCAAUGCAUCAUAUAAAUAAAUAUAUUACCAUUCAAUCAACAGUUUGACACUUGUAUAAGCAUCAAACAACAACAUUGUUAGUAUACUUGCACAUAUCUCAUAUAAAGUCAACAUUGAUAUAUCUAUUUUCUCGACAUAUCGCACUUGAGUUUAAUAAUAGUCUCAACUUACAUAAUUUCCUUGUAUCAACAUAUCAAAGAUAAUCAUAUAUGUACAUGUCAUGAAACAUAUCAUGCUCUUACCGUUUCUUCAUAAGCAUAUAUCAUUCAUUUCAUUAUAUCAAUAUUUCAUACUCCAUCAUUUCCAUAUAUUUUAUGUAUAUUUAUUCCGGUAAUAGCUUAUAUCAAACUUAACAUAAAUUAUAUUCCAUGUACUUAUACUUAUUUCGUUUAUCUAUCUUCAUAAUUAUUUCAUAUAACCAUUCGUCAUCUGAUACAUAUUACCUGAAUAUCAAUUGUUCAACAGAUGUUAGAGCGUCUCCCAUCCACGGUCUUAUUUAUCUUUGACAUGAUGCCAUAGUGUCUUUCAACUAUGGUCUUACUCAUUUUCUGUCAUGUUGCCAUGGUAUCUUUCAACCAUGGUCUUGUUCAUUUCAUAUCACGUUGCCAUGGUAUCUUUCAACCAUGGCCUUACACAUUUCAUAUCUGGUUGCCAUGGUAUCUUUCAACCAUGGCCUUACACAUUUCAUAUCAGGCUGCCAUGGUAUCUUUCAACCAUGGCCUUACACAUUUCAUAUCAGGUUGCCAUGGUAUCUUUCAACCAUGGUCUUACACAUUUCAUAUCAGGCUGCCAUGGUAUCUUUCAACCAUGGUUUUACACAUUUCAUAUCAGAGAGCACACUCCCGCGAACCUCAUCCUUACAGUGGGAUUACCAGUCCAGGCUAAAUCCCUUGUAAUAUAAACUCAUAGAGUAUUGUCGGGAUUACCAGUCCAGGCUAAAUCCCCUGCAACGACAAUUACUCUAAUGAGCUUGGAUCUGAAUUACCAGUCCAGGCUAAAUUCAGACCCUAAUUCGGAUUACCCGUCCGGGCUAAAUCCAUUUUACACGUAUUCUUCGGGAGGGCUAUAUCAAGAUAGGAUCACCCGUCUGGGCUAGAUCCUUUUUACCGUCAAUUCCUUUUCAGAGAUCCAUCGAAUUUUCCUUUCAUUCAACCGAGAUUUCUUCCCAUUUUAUCAAAUAUAUCAAUGUUUCAUAAAUUUUCAUACAAUGAACAUUCAAAUCAUAUUCACAUCAAUAACAUACAAUCUCAAGUAUUUAAGAAUAUAAUUCAAGUUACACGAACUUACCUCAUUGCUUGUUUGUGUUUAUAAUUUCAUUAAUCCGAUAUCUUUUCUUUUCCACAAUCAAGUCUCAUAUUUGAGUCGUCCGGAUCUUUAUAAAUAAAUUUGAUCAUCAUUUUCAUUCAUUUCAUCUUCUAAUGCAUUUAAUUAAUGCUCUAGGCAAGAUUACCAUUUUGCCCCUAAACUUUUAAUUAAUGACAAUUUCGUCCUUAGGGUCAAGAAAAUAAAAUUCUUGCAAUUUAAUCCUUAUUUCCAGCUAUUAUUCUCAUAUAUAUUGAUAACAGUCCAUGGAUUCUAUAAAAUAUCAUAAUUUUCCAUAAUUUCAACACUUUUCAAUUUAAUCCCUAAAACAUGUUUUCCCCCGAUCUUGAACUAAAUUAAUAAUUUCAUUCAAUUUUGUAAUUUAAAUAAUAAAAUAAUCCAUUUCAUGCAAUUUGGUUAUUUUUGACAUUUUUACAAAAUUACCCAUAAAGUUUUACUUUUAUUCAAUUUAGUCCCUAAGCCUAAAAUAUGCAAAUUAACCAUGCUUAAUGAAUAUUCAUAUAUUUUUUCCUCCUCCUCCUCUCCAUUCCACAUACUUGAUGUAUGUAGCACACUUGUAAGUAACAUUAUCUAAAUCUUUAUUAUUUACUUUUAUGAAUAUUCAAGCUGUCCAUCUGUGUCAUAGUCACUAAAUUAUUUAUAUCUGGAUCUAUAGGACUCCAAAUUAAUAUCCGCUAAUUUUCCCUGAAACUAGACUCAUAUAUCUUCUUACCAUAAAAUUUUCAGAAUUUUUGGUUUAGUCAAUAAGUACAGUUUAUUCUUUAAAUUUACCCCUAUUCUGCUGUCUGACAGUUGUGACCCUUCUUCACUAAAAAUUAAUUAUCUCCUUGUACAGAAUUCGAAUGAUGUUCAUAUUUGUUUCUAUUGAAAAUAGACUCAUUCAGGAUUAUAAACAUAUAAAUUUAAUCCCCUAAUUAUUUUUAUCCAAUUUUUUUAUGAUUUUACAAAUUCAGAAUAGGGGAACCCGAAAUCAUUCUGACCUUGUCUCACAAAAUUCAUCAUAUUUCAUGAUUUAGAAUUCCAUUGCUUACAUAAUUUCUUCUAUAAGAAACUAGACUUAAUAAGAUUUAAUUUAAUAUUUUAUUCAUCCUAUAAUUAGAUUUCUACAAUUUUUGAUGAUUUUUCAAAGUUAGACUACUGCUGCUGUCCAAAACUGUUUUAGUACAAGAUAUUAAUUACCAUGUUAUAACAUCCUUAUUUUCUUUUUCUACACCAUUGCUCAUCACUUUCUCUUAUUUUUUCUUCACUAACAUAUCAAGAACAUAGGACCUUAUGUAAGAAAACUCUACUAUAACAUUAUUUCCAUGCUUUAUCAAUAAUAACAAACUUAAAAACAUAUUGAAAUCUUGAUGUACUUACCUUUUCUUAUUGACUUCAAUCUUUAACUUGAUUUUUCUCUCUCCUCCAGCUUCGAUUUCUUGAAUCCAACUUGAUAUUCUUGCUCCCCAUCAUCUCCUUGCUAUCUUUCUCUCUUGAUGGCUAUGGAAAUUCUUUCAAUUUUUAGGUGAAAAUAAUGAAUUUUUGGUGGAAGGACUAAAUUGUAAAGAAAGCAAACUUCUUUUCUUCUUCUUAUCUUGCGUUAGUUUGCAUGGGAAAGGAAAUGUGUUGAUAAUUCUUCAUCUUUCCUUCCUUUUAUACUAAAUAAAUAAUAAUAUAAUAAUAAUAAACAUCUCAUAAAAUAUUAAUAAAAUAAUAUUUAUCUAAUUAAUUAAUUUAAAAUAUCAUCAACAUAAUCAUUACAUUCUAGAAUUCUCUCUCUUAAUUAAUUGACCAUUUUGCCCUUCAUGAUCUUUUAGAAUUCCAUCCUUGAGUCAUCACUUAAUUUGGUAAAAUUACGAUUUAGUCCCUCAUAAUUUUUUUACCUAUUCAAUUUGGUCCUAAUUCAUCAAUUUUUCUUGGUUUCUAGAUCAUUCCACCCUUAAAAUAUUUGCACCAUUAGUCCUUCAAUUUUUUAUAUUUACACUUCAACCCCUUAAAUUUUGAGUAUUUACUCUUGUGCAACAAGACUUUUCUCAUCUUUGCAAUUUAGUCCUUUCUUGAAUUAAUAUAUCAUAAUAUACUUCUCAAUAUUGACAUCACUCAAAAACUCCCUUUUGGUCACUUUAUUUCCUUAUUUUACUAUAUCACGGAUAAUAUUUUACUGUAAAAAUUUUCGGGGUAUUAUAUUGAUGCAUUUCCUCCUUAAUAUAACAUGCAAGAUAAAACUCUGAAUAUCACAAUUAUUAACUUCAGUCGGCUUAAAACCUAAAAUCAAUUCCAACCAAACUACUCUAACUAAGAAGAGAUGAUCAUAGGAUUCCAUAUAUUAGCCACAAAAGCUACAAGUUGUAUCAAAACAAUUAAUUCUUCUACCUAUUUCCUCUUUUAAAGGCAAAACUUUGACACAUAUUUUUUAUAGAAAUAGUAAUUCAAAAGAUUAAUAAUUAAUUUGAACUAUCAUUUUAAUAUUUUUAAAAUUUUUUUAAUUAUUUUAAAAAUUACUUAAAAAUUAUUAAAAUUUUAACCUAAUCCUUUAAACCGGAGCUUUUGGGUUUUACUUUUUUUUUUUUAAAACUUAAUCCUUUGAUGUUUUUCUUAUUCUUUUUAAAUCACACCAAACUGUUAUUUUAGCGUAUACCAAUGAUUAAAGUAUACAAAUUCUCAAAAUUAGAACAGUUAUUUUUAUAAUAAAAUUAUUAAAAUAUAAAAAUAACUCAAUAUUGAAUCAGUUAUUUUUCAAUUUAACAGAUAUUAUUAUGGAAAAAAAAGCUGGGUUUUAAUUAAGAGAACCCAAAACCCCAAUCUUUAAAUUCUACUGAUUUAAUCAAAUUAGCAAAAGUUAAAAAAAAAAAAAAACGACAGUUAGACUACAAGGGAAAAACCAAAAGAGAAAAAAAUUUAUUUUCGUUCUUUUAAUGAUUUUUAUAAUUUUUAAUUAUUUUUAAGAUUUAAAAAAUUGAAAAUAUCAAAAUGAUAUUUUUAACUAUAAUUUAAUAAACAAAUUAAUUAUUAAUCCUUUAAAUUAAGUAUCAUGUUGUUCCCUAACAGAAAUUAACGGACGAAUAAUUAAAAUAUAAUAUUUAAAUAAUAUUAAUAAUCAUUUCGUAUCUUUUAAAAAUUCAAUCAUUCAAUUAAAUAAAAUUAAAUAUUCAAUCGUUACACAAAUUACUAGAGCCAUUGAAAUAAACCAAAAACGGUUCUUAAUUUGUCUACAAAGUCAACACUCUAUCCUAUACACUCACAUGAAUAAAAUUUCAAUUCGGUCAGCCCCUUAAUUAUUAGAUUUAUUCAUGUUAUGCUAAUUAUUCAUUAUCAUCCAAUUCAUACAUUAAUUUGCCUUAAUUAUCCUAAAUUAACAUAGUUAACAAUUAAUCAAGAGGGAAAACAGUUCAUUUGAGUACUCACUAUUUAAUAAUUUCCAGCCAAUAAUGAAAUCAAGUCCUUGAUAUAAUUACACUCAAAUCCCUCUAAACUUCUAUUACUUUUUAAAGUAGUCCCCACCAAUUCACAUUUGUAUCCCUCCACUUUAAGCAUUUAUGUACUAGAUAAUCCCCACUUCAGUUUUCCUACUAUUUUCUCUUAAAUUACACCAUCUCAAUUUACUUAUUUCAUCAUAAAUAUUUAAGUUCACUGUUUAUCUCGAAAUUUACUAUCCGGAUGAUACCAUUUCGUGGUCUAAAUUUUGAAUAGUUUAAAUAUUAUAAAUUUUAAAAAAAAUCUCAAUAAAUUUUGAUAUUGAAUAAAUUGUUCUUCUAAAAAAAUCAAAUCAAUUUAAUCCCUGACAAGUUUAAAAUAAACACUUAAGACAAUUAAUCACACUGUAAUUAUUUUUCAUGAUAUAUAUAUUAUUAAUACAAUUACAAAUUUAACCCACAACAUUUAUAUAUUCUAUCAAUCCAAUUUAGAUGUAAUUAAUUUAAUCCACAAAUUUUUCUCAUUGUCAACAUUUAUGUAGAAUAUAUAAACAUUAAAAAUUAAAUUUAUUAUUAUACUAAUAAAAAUUAUAUAUAUAAUUGACGGAAAAACAUCACUAUUAUAACCAAUUAUCAUUAGUUGCUAUUUUUUAAAUCUACAAACAUCAAUUACUCCAAUUUUGAGAAAAAUUUAAAACCGACUAGAGUAACCAAAAACAAACUUUACUACCGGACAUCCAGAGAAAAUAUCCAUAGUAGAUGUAGAUCAACUAUAUGCUACGGAAUUAAUUUCAAAAAAGUUCUAUGCUGGAGAGAUGUCGGUACCAUUUGUAUCUUCGUCUUCAAAAUCUUGAAAAAUAUGUUAUUAUUGUUUUGGGAAAUAUGUUUUCCUGAACUAAAGUAAAUUGGAAAAUAUUUAGUGCAUUGGUAAUUUUUAAAUAUUAUUUUUGGAAUAAAAAAUUAUAUUCUCAAUGUAUUAUAUACUAAUUCAAAUAAAUUUUAGUUAAAAAUGAUGAUAAACUAAUUUUUAAUAAAAGUAAUAUUAAGUACUAAACAAUUAAAUACAUCAAAAGUAACAUGUUUAUUGUAUAUAAAAGUGAAUAAAAUAUAUACAAAACAUAAAUAAUAUGAAAAUAUAUUAUUUAAUUUUAAUAUUGACAACACUACUUAUCAGAUAUAUGUAUACAUUUGCAAAGCUUCCGAAAACAAAAAACCACAAUACAAAAACAAUGAGUCAAUUGGUAACUAAACACUAAAGCAAACAGACAAGGCUUGGAAGGAAAAAAAAGAGUAGAUAUACUUUUUGGUUCUCUUAUGACUUUAUUAUUUAGAUUGGUACUUAAUAAAAGAGUCGACUUCUUGGGGCAGCCAACUCAAACUCUCAACAAUUGAAAAUAUUGUAUUGACAUUAAGGUUUUGUCUAGCUUCCAUAGAAAGUCAUGUACAGUUCACAAGAAAAGUACUUUAAUUAAUGGAAAUAGAUAUCUACAAAACUCGGAAAAAAUAUCAAUAUAAAGUGUGCAAAUAAUAAUGAAAAUACUUAGGUACCCCACAACUUAAGACACCAAGGUACCUCCAUUAUUAUUCACCCACCUAUACUCUCACUUCUCCCGAGUCUUGCAGGUGACUAUUUCCACCAACUGAGGUACCCCUUGAUAAAUCGUACAUGACUCUCCAUAAAAGUUAAGGACAAAACCUCGACACAAGGAUAAAACCUUCAAUUAUAGAGACCGAAUCAACUACCCGACAAACGACAUUCCAAGUAGGAGCCAAUCCCCCCUCAAUAGUACCUAAUUUCUUUAUAUAUUUUUUUCAGACUAAAAUUUGAUUUCCACCACACAUGUUAGCCCAUUUUUGAACCUUCGUUAAUCUUGAUUUAACCACAUGGGACACAUCAUGUCAUCAACUAUGUACCUACCAUGUGUAGUAAAUUUAUUGGACCACAUAAUCCAAUUUUAAAAGAGUUACAAAAAAUUGACUAAAACCUGUAAGAAAAGCCAAAUUCGAGUACCAAUCUGAACAAAAAAUAUAUAUGUACCAAUUUAUACAUCAAAACCAAACGUACCAAAAAAUAUAUCUACCUAGAAAAAACUAAGCAUAAAAACAGUUGAACUAUGAACUCAGUGGGGCAAUCUGUUUAAAUUGCCUUUUCAUGCAUAAUAAAGGUUUCAGCUUCAGCUAGAGUUCACUAAGCAAAAGGUAUAAGAAUAAUGAUAAAGACAAAGGCAUUCAGAUUCAAUACUUCCUUUAAAUGCUUCUAUCUCAGAGGGAGUUUUUUAACUGCAGUAGCAAGCAUAAAAAAGUCCAGGAAAGCGAAUAAGUCAAUGUAGAUAUUAGAUAGUACACAACACCACCUACACGAAAAGUCUCGUGAGCUGCAAUCGAAUAAAAGUCUUUUAAGAUCAACAUAUGAAAAGGAAAUAAGAUAUGGGGGAAGAACAUUAGAGAUUGCAUUCAACAAACAAACUUUGCCUUUGUUAAUUGUAUGCAAUUGUGUAAAAGUCAAGUUGACGGUUCCCCUUCCAAGCGUACCCUCUUGGGACAUUUCUCUUCACCUUGACUGCCAGUGUUCAUCACUCUGUUUUCUUUGGCUUCCACAGAACACCUUUUGUAAGGUUUAAAUCCAGUUCGGCCAGCUUUUAGUUUUGAAUGUCCUAAUCCAAUAGUCAGCAGGCCCUCUUCUGUACUGUUCUUGUCUCUUGAUAAUGCAUUUUUCACAGUUUCUUGAUGAUCAGAACAAGAACCCCAUGUAUUGCUGUUGAGAUCUAAAGUUGAUAUUUCUUCGUCUUCCUCAGCUGGAUUUUGCUUGUCUUCACCUAUAUUUUCCUUUUGCUGCCCCUUGCUCUUGCCGUCAUGUGGAGGAGAAAAGCUUUGUGGGAGUACCUCCCGGGAGAAGAGGGCUUGAAAAGCUAGCCGCCCCUGAAUAAGUAGUGGAGCCAUACAGUGGCAAUUGUACAAAACAAUUAGAAUAAUAAUUAAAGUUGGGCUAUAUGGGAAAAUUGACAUAUCGACUCACCUCUUCAGAUACCUCCUUCCAAGAAUCACUCAGGUUGCUAUUGCUUCUACUACUACGACGGUAACAUUCAACUUGUGGAUGAUUGGGGUCAGCUCCUUUUGAAUCUUCCUUGUCUUUUUCAUGUUUUUCUAACGCAUCUGUCUCUACCUCACUGCUUGAAGGAGUGUUGGAGCCACAUGAGGACCGGUCAACUUGUUUUUUGUUCUUUGUUUUAUUUGCAUCCUGAGGCUCAAUUACUUCAGCAGCCGUCUCAUCAUCGGUAGCUUUCACUCCAGUAUUCACUUUUGCAUCUCCUCUCUCUUCACAGUCCGACGAUGAUGAAGUAGGUGAUUUAGAUGAUGAAUGCUGACCUUGCAAAGCUUCAGAGUUCUCAGGGUCUAGUUGCUCAACCUGCAGAGAUAGAGCUUGAUCAGUUUUACCCUUUUGUUCUGUCUUGGCAGCUGGAGGUUGACCAUUCUCCAUUGGUGGAACUGCAGCAGUGGAUGCAGGAAAACAGGUAAAGCCUGUAUGCAGAGGAGCACAUACAGGAAACAGUCCAUGGGCGGCCCACCAUGCAGUGGCAGCUGCUACAGUUGCAGCAGCGAUUGCAGCCAUUCUUGGAGCAGAGUUCAUUUGUCUAGAUGGGAAACCUCCUAAGCCGCCUGCAGGAGAAUCGCCAGAGCUUUCAAUAUUCGCAUAAGGCCAAAAUCUUGCUGCAAAGCUUGCUGCAGCAUGGGCAGCUGGAUUCUGUAACAAAGUAGAUACAAUGAGACUGGAAAAAGUGGAGGAGACAUGUAGAAAUGAUCGAUAGUCCUCUUGAUUUGGGCGAAGAUGCAUAAAGGGAGUAUGAAAAGGUGGCAGUGCCUGCUGAGUUGAUCUCGGAGCAUUAUUCUGAUGUUCAGUAGUUGCAGAUGCAGCUAGAUUUGCGGACAGGUUAGGUCCAUGAACAUCACCCAUAGGGCAAAAUACAGAAUCCUGAAAUGACAUAUCCAGGGAAGGAUUUUGAGCACAUGUUCUCAGGCUUCCAUCUAGGACAUGCACAGAAACAUGUCUAGGAUAAUUUUGAGCGGCUUGCAUUUCAUCUGCACAUAAAGCACCAUCCAAAUCAUCUUUUCUUUGGCCUUGAGCUGGUUUAUCAUAUGAGGUGCAGGAAUACUCCAGGUUUGAGGCCUUACUUGUACCAUUAUCAUGAAUUUUCUGUUGGACAUUAAGUAUAUAAGCUUCAUAAAUUUCUUUAAGUUCAAGAGUGACAUAGAAUACAUGUUUGUCAUGAUUUACUACCUCUUUUGGAGAAGGUACAAACUCCCUAAAUGUGCAAGAGCUUUUGAGUGCUGCUGACGCUGGUAUAAAAUUCUUAUUCAUGGAAGAAGCAGAGGGGCAAUUUGCUUCGCAGAGAAGGGUAAAAACCCCAGAGCAACUCUCAUCUUGAUUUUCUUUCAGAUUUGUAGACUUUUCAUCUCCAUUAGGUCUCUGACAUAAAAGAUAUAUUUGAAAAGCUUAGGUAAAAAAAGGAACAUAUCUAAAGGUGAGAAUGAAGUAGUUGAGUAAGAGAAAGAAACCUCUGGAAGUGGUUCUUUCUCCAAGUCCAACACUUGCUUGCAAUGUGAAGAAGAUAUCGGUGUUUCAGAUUUUCCAUCCUUAGCUCCAUCCUGUACUGUGGUAGAAGCACCGGUUUUUCGAGGAUAAGGAUUGUUUGGUUUUCUUUUAGGGCGUGGAGGUGGAAUCUCUAUGUCAAGAGCUUGACCUAUUGGUACACCUUUACCAAGUGCCUCCUUCUCCAACUGAGAAUGGAAUACCGUCAGUGGCAUCAAUCAAAUGAAAAUAUAGAAAAGGAGAUUACAGAAGCUGCCAAUGAAGAAUCAAAUUUCUAAAAUUAACUGUGUGACACUAAAAUAUACUAUAGGAAUAGCAUAAUUCAAUGCAACAUGAUAAUAUCUAACCGGAAUAAUACCAAACAUCAUCAGGGAACAAGAAGCCCAUGCAUAUAAUUGCUCUAACAUCUCCUUAAUAUGGAUGUUUAUCAUGAUAAUAUCUCACACAGGAGAUUGUACAAAAUUUUAUACUCCAUUGUCAAUUAAUAUGCCUUAUUUUAUAACAUUAUAUUAGAUUUAUCUGCUUCCCACCAAAUAAUUAGAAUCCAUCAGCCAAAUUUGUACAACAUUUGUUUUACCCAGCUUCCAGAAAGUACAUCGCAAUUGUGUCCUUCAAAUCAGGUAAGCUCAUACCAAAAGGGGAAUCCUCUAAAGCACUUUUAAAGAAUCAUCAAAAAUAAACUUUUUUUAUUCCUUUAAGUCUAUCACAUGUCCCCUCAAGAAUAGUACGCUAUCUUAACAUUUGACUGUAGCAUACACCCAGGCCAUAGUUGACCAUAUACAUACACCAAGACUGACUAAAUAAAAAAAGGAGGCUGGUUUAGCCAAGCCGGCAGUUCUGCUUGGUUAAACCAACCCCCACUUUACUAGAAGAACACUUAAAAUUGUAUAUAUAGAGGGAGAGAGGAUUACUCCAUUCAGAUGGAAAGAAAAUUACCAGUGGCUUCUUAAGAAUCAGAGUCUAAGUUCUGCAUAAAAAAGUUUAAUCCUUCAAAUUGCCAACUUAUCCCAUAUAAUGUGAACCAAACUAUCCAUGAUGUUCUUUGUCAUGUAAAAUUGAUAUCAUUAAUGGUUAGAACUUCAUACUGAAGAAAGUAUUUCACAAAGCUUUAACCAUAAUAAUCUUGAACGAUCUUCAUUUGCUUACCCUCCUGAUAAAAUUCAUCAAUUAUGAGCUAAUUGAGAUAAAAAUGUUCGAAACUACUAACAACAGAAUGUGUGCAUUUGUUUGUGGAAUCAGAAAUUUGAAAGGAAAAAAAUUGCAAUGCAUUACCAUAUACCUAACUUUAACAUGAUUGGCAGGUGACUGCCAAUACCUGCAAGAAAUAAGUCUUUAUAGACGUGCUUGGUUAAGUGAAAAAAUGAGAGGGAGGAGUGGAAAAUUGGAAAGAAAAUGAAAUUGAGUGUGCUCGAUAAGAAAGGAAAGAGAGAGAGAAAAGAAAACAAGAGAGGUACCAUUUUUCAUCCUAAUGCACAAAAACAAAUCAUUCCAAAUUGGAAUGAUAAGAGGGGGGAAACGAGAGACAAAAGUAAAUUCAAAAUUACGCAAUUUUCAAAAGUUCCAAUUUCUUUCAUCUCAUUUAAAUUCAAAAUUUUGCAUUUUUCAAAAGUUUCAUUUUCUUUCAUCUCAUUUUUCAACUCAAUGGAAAGAAAAGUACUUUUUUUCUUUUAAUUUUUCCAUCUUACCAAGCACCCCAAUGGAAAGAAAAAAGAUACUAUUUUCUAUCUUUCUAGUCUUCCAAUUUUUCAUCUUUCCAAUUUUCUCUUAGCUCUACCAAGCAAAGCCAAAGAGAAGAAUCCAAUACAAUUUUAUGAGUGAUACCUUUUACUGAGGAUGCAUACCACAUUCAUUAAAUUAUUAGUAAAUUUACGCUUUGGUCACUGAAUAUCAAAAAGUUAAAAAAUGGUCCUUAGACUAUUCGAAAGUUUUCAUUUAAGUCAUUGAAUUAUUCGAAAGUUUUUAUUUAACUCCCUGGGCUGUUAAGUUUUUUUUUUUUUAAAAAGGCCGUUUAGCAAGCUCUAACCAACAAUUCGACUAUCAAUACGGUCGAUUAGUACCCAUUGAUGAGUAAAAGAACAUACCUUAAAUCCAAGUUGAUUUGACGGUCACUGUUGGAGAUCAAAGAAGAAAGCUGUUUGAAUUUUGGUUCGUGGAUUCAUGACGUUUAAAGUUGUUUUAUGAAAGAAAAACUGAAUUGUAGAAGAAAAGGGGAAUGAGAGUUUCGCUUAAUGCAAGCGGUGCAAAUAGAGAGGACCAUACAGUAGCGAUUUUAACAGCCCAGUGACUUAAAUGAAAAGUUUUGAAUAGUUCAAUGACCAUUUUAUAACUUUUUAAAGUUGAGUGACCAAAACGUAAACUUACCAAUAGUUUAAUGUCCUUUGGUGUAGUUUACCCGAAAAUUUUAUGAGUGAUUCCUUUUAUUGAAGAUGCAUACCAAAUUCACUACGUAUGGGAUGCAUGCCUCAAGUCUAGCACCACAAUUAGCUACAAGGCACAUCUAACAAACAUGCCCCUCCUAAGCUUGGCUGAAAAACUUAAGGUAUUAUGGGAAGAAUGAUCCCACUAUUCACCUAGUAGGUAUAAUAUAGUUUCCAGUUAUGACUCACAUUUCAGAUGAAAAGAAAAAUAUGCAGAUCAGCAUUCUAUGUUCCUCGUUACCAAGAAAGGAAAUAAGUUUUGUGUCAUAAAUGAUUAAUCUAUAUAGAUGCAUGAUCCUUAACCUUAAAUGAGUAGCCUAUCCUGUAUUUCAAACUCUCCCAAUUCCCAAAAAUGGAAGAAAGAAAAAUAAAAUUCAUAUUAUAGAUCUAACAAGUCUCUCUGGUUCAAACUCGGUAAUAUUGCUAAUGUUUAAAGAGAUUUCUCACCAGUAAUCUGAACGCAUCAACUCACUCUAGAAUUCAAAAAAUUAUAUCCUUCAUCAUAAGACUUGUGGAAUCCCUCCUAGCACUAACUACUAAUCAACAUAUUCCACUCUGAUGUUAGAAGAUCAUUUGGCAUAUGAGAUCAACAUCAUCAAACACAUCUUGACUCACAAAGGGGAAAAAGUCCUUUUUCUAGAAGUAAAUCAAGACCUUCAGCUAGGCUCGAUAUAAAAACAGCCUUAAACUAAAUUUUGAACUUCCACCACAUAAAGGAGACAAUGGAAAGAAGGAAAUAAAAAGCAAAAGAAAAAAAAGGGGGGGGGGAAGAAGAAGAAGAAGAAGACAAAAGCCCUUUAGAUAUUGUCUUGAAAGAAUGUGAUACAUGCCCUUAUAAAAGCUUUAAUAAAAAUGAACCUGAAAUUGAAGACUAGAUGUGAAACUUGCCACUAUAAAGGUUUUAACAGAAAACGAUCCUAAAAUUGAAGACAACUAUCAAAUUUACUAUAGGUUCAGAUUCAUUUUAAACCAUGGAUGCUGAUGCAUUGAACUAUUAGCAACCUUGAGAUACCCUAAACAUGAAGGAUACACUAAUAGGUAAUCCUAAUUGCAAAUGACUGGCAUACCACCCAUUGAUGCUAAAGAAUUCAAUUUGAAGCAGAGCCAACAUCUUGGCAUAUAAUAUAACAACGAAGAACAUGGUAGUUAGGCCUAGCCCAAAUUCACUUCUUACUACCAUUCCCAAAAAAGAAUUAACUUCUUAUUACUUCAUAAUGGUCUAUAUUCACUCUCUAUGCAAAUUCAGACUAUAUGUGCCUGCAUGACCCGUAUGUGCCAAGUAACAAAAUAUACUAAAUUUCCUCCGCUGUAGUAGAUUAAGUACAAAUUUGCAUCAGCAAGUUCAAAAAUGAUCAGGCAAGUGGAUGCCUUGUGCACAAAAGCUGGUGAAAUGCCUAUUAGAAAGAAAAGAACCAUUUAUAACAACUUGAAAAAUGAAACACACCCCUUUUUUUUCAGACAGAUCAGACUCCUUGGGUGAUAAACCUAUUUGCAUAGCCAAUCUCAUAAAGAUUCCAAAUAAAUAAAAUUCAUAUAGCUGACAUCUCCAAAACCAAAUUUGUAGAGAUGAUAAAGGCUAUCGCCCUAAAUAUGAUUUACAAAAAUUAGUAUUUAGUAGCUCGGAGUCUCAUCUAACUCAAGUUGGUGCCUGCCUAUAUAAUAAAUAAACUCCAGUGUGCUUCUUCACAUGAUUAUAAUUUUAAUCAUUUAUAUGCAACAGAUGUUUUUGACGAAGAAAACUAUCAUUGAUAUGCAACUGAUGUUUUUGACGAACAAAACUAUGUAAUCUCUUCAUAUAUUAGGCAUUAACUCUUUCUCCUCAAUCUAUUAGUUGAAUAUGCCAAGGAAACCUCCUAUAUUCUCUUUGUUGUUUUAAAUCAACAAAAUUGCUUAUACAGGGGGGAAAACUGAAGUAGAGAAUAAUCAGUAAGAUUUCCCAACCGUUCAAGAUAGUGCAGUUGAUGAAUCGAUAUCUUAUAUAUUUCAAGAAAAGACAUGAUAUAAGCAGCAGAAAAAACCAUUGAACAUAAGCAUAAGCAAAGACAAGAAGGAACCAAAUGACCUUUGAAAAGAAUUUUUGAGCAUGACUCCUGAUCUGCACAGCAGUCUUCGUUCCUAUGUGUUCUGAAAAUCACCACGUAAAAGAAAAAGGGAAAAAAUCUCCAAUUAUGACAAUAAAUAACAAAAGCAUCUAAUUUUUCAGUCCUAACAGACAUAUCCAACAAAUCUUAGCCCACAAUAACAAUAGUUCUAAAAUGACAGCAGCAAUUGAAAUAUUACUGAGAGGGAAAAGCAAGUAAACACCUUCAAUGCGUUGCCAAGCUCGUCCAUAGAGCUUCAAAGCCUCUAGGAACCUAUUAUGCUCCUCCUCAGUCCAUCUUUCACGUUGUUUGGUAAUAGUAUAAGGCUUCCUAGUCUAUCAUUCAACAUAAAAGUUCAAUGGUCCAAAUAAUAACAACAAAACCUCCAUUUUUUACAAGUCCAACAAGCAUAACUUACAAGCAAAAAAUAAAAAUACUCAAUUUAUUUUGAUAAUUAAUACCUUAAGAACGAGUUCUUCCCCAGAAGAGUAUGUGUCCAUUGACAGGACCUGGGCAGCGCUACCGCUGCUUCAAAUCCUCUCUAACGAGCAACGGGUAAAACACAAACCUCCUUUCAUUUCUUUGGACAUUCAAUACUACAAAUAGUAGAGCCGUUUUUGAACUCCACAAAACCUGAUGACUGCUAUUUACUACUGCAAAAACAAAAAAGCCAACGACAACAAUCGAUAGAGAUCCGUCUCUGUUUUCUAUUACUACUCCAACAAAUAUUACUGCCUCAUCAUUUAAUAAAUUUUUACUAUUUUAAUUAAUCAUAUAGUAAACUUCAGGUGAAAGCUAAAUCUCCAGAGAAUUAAAAUAGAAAUAAAAAAUUUAAGUAUCCACCGUAACAGAGAGAAGAGACGGCUUCUUCCAAUGAACUUAAAACAAAAUUCCUUUAUUCAGAAUCCUCGCCAAAACGAACCCGUAGACGCCAAUACCUUUCGAGAAAUGACCAAAAAAAAAGUGUUAAUUAGUAAUCAAUAACACACUCCUACUUUCUCGUAUUAGUAACAACCAAUAACAAUAAUUCUUUACCUUCUGUUUGGUUACCAAGAAAAAAAAAACAAAAGAAUUCAAACGCUUUCCUUUUUGUCUCUCUACUCAACUUCGAAUAAACAACAUAAUUUUUUAAAACUCAGCUGAGCAGAGCGAAAACGAUCAUUUUAAGCAACCAAACGGAGAGUAAACAAAGCCCUAGAAAUGAAGUGUAAACUUUAAAUACCUUGAGAAAUAGCCAUGGAGGAUGAGAACACUGGAAACGACGAUCACGCAUGAAAAAAUUAGUUCACCGGAAAACAGUCGGAAAGUUCAUAGUUUCCGGCAAUGAAAAAAAGAUCGGAAUAUACAGAAAUUGGAAAAACAGAACUUGAAGAAAGCAAAGCUAAAGAAGUGAAAACAAGCUCUUUUUUUUGUGAGAAUUAAAACACAAAAAAUACUACGAGAAAUCUCAGCCACUAUAAUUUCAUGUGGAUUUAUUUUUCUGGAAAUUUUUUGAAAAUAAAAAAAAAUGGGGGAGUUUAAUUUGAGGCUGGAAAAGAGUGAACGGUAUGUACAGAACAUAGAGAUGCAUUAGAUGUUGCCAAGCGGCAGUAAUUUAGUGGCUGAUUCAACUAAAGCCCACGCUUGCGCUUUUUCCCUUAAUUUUUUAGUUUUUCUUUUUGCCCUUUGGCCAAUAGCUCCUACUUCCUACCUUCGUCUUCGAAUUUCAGCCACAAGUUGCUAUGCUCUUUGGGGUUAAAUCCGUAAAAUUGACUCUAGCUUUGCCACGUGGUGCCCGACGUCAACGUUUUGGCGAUUCGUGGCACAGGUGGUCGGUACGUGGCGGUUCAGGGGCUGCUGCAGAGUCAAAAGCCACCGGGUUUGCGACCAUAUUAGCCAGGAUCUACGGUGAUGAUUUUAAGAUUGCAUCAAAUCUAGGGACAUUCCUAUGCAUUGCUCCGUUUUUCGUUCUUUCUUUUUAUCUUUUUCGUUCCUUACGUGAUAAGAAUAGCAGCUUGGGUUCGGUUCAAGCUAUAAGAAUAAAAGUAUGAUAAUCAAAAUUUAGAUUUGGGUUUUAUAAGGCUAAAGUUGAGUCUAUAUAUAUUUUUUAAUAUAUAAGAUAAAAUUAAAUAUAUAAUAAGAGAAAAUAUUUAGUAUACUGUUAUCGGAAUUUUUUGAUUUCAAAAAUAAAAUUAGAGUUUGACAAUUAUAUAAUAAAAUAAAUAAAUAUUUAUAAUAAAGACACAUAGUAAUUUUUUAAGAUUACUUUUAACCAAAAAUAAGAAAAUAUUUGAUAGACCGGGAGUUUUAAACUUCAUUAGUGUUGGAGUGAUGAUAAGUAUCAUAUAAAGGUAUAAUAAAAUAUUUUAAAAAAUAAAUAUAUAAAAGAAAUUGGACACAUAGCAAUGUUUAUAUUUAAAAUUUGAGAUAAUAUAAUUUUUGGCUUCUGAACUUGACAACAAAAUUCACUUUGGUAUAUGUAUUUUCUUUUGGUUUUGAACUUGAAAAAAUAUAAAAAUUUGAUGAUGUGAAACUAUGAAAUUGUGUCACAUUUUUCAACUAAUUUGAGCGUCAAAUCAACAAUAAUUAAAAUUUUAUAAUAAAAAAUAAAAUUUUAUCAAACCGAUUCAACUUAUUUCAUUGUCGACUUUGUCUUUGUUUUUGUUUUUUUACUAAUUUCAAGCAGUUUUCGAGUCAAUUGAUUCAACCCCUUUGGUCAAAUUAUUAUAUUGAUCAGUUCUUGGUUUGUCCGAUCUAGUCUUGUUCCAGUAAUACUGGUCACUUCAUCAAAUUUUGACAAAAUCCAAGUUUAGGGAUCAAAAUGGAUCUAGUUAACAAGUUCAAGAACUAAAGUGAACAAAAAAAAAUAUAGGUAUCAAAGUCAACCUAGUUGCCAAGUUUAAGGGCUAAAAAUUAUAUCAUCCCUUAAAAUUUUAAUAAAAAAUCUAAAAUAUUACAUUAAAAAUAUUUUUUUAAAAAUAAUAUCGCAUGUCUAAAAAUGAGUUUAGAUUAGCUUUUCAUAAAUAUAAGUAAGUUUAAAUAAAAUUUUAAGUCUAGAUUAAGUAAACAUUAAAAUAUAUAAAUAUCAUACAUAAACAUGAUCUAACUUGACCCAUACACACUUAAUUUGAUAAGUUUUUCAUGGUUGAAAAAUAGUAUUUUCAAAUAAAAUUUUUAAACCAAAUAAUAUUUAUAGGUUAGUAUGUAUUUUUUUCACAAUACACUUCCACAUACGUACACUAGUAGACAAUUUUCACGAUACGAAAAGCAUUCAAUUCUUACUAUUAGAUAUAAAGAUAAAAACUCUUAGCUAAUGAACUAAAUGUUUUGUUUUAAUUUAGUUUGCCUUUUGAAGUAUAUUAGUUUUGUCAUUGGGGUAGUUAAAAUUUUUAUUUCCACUUAUAGUACUUGCCUUUCAUUUUUAGUAUAAACUAUUAAUAGCAAUAAGAUAAAAGGUAAUACAUCUAGAUGGUGAUAGCACACUGUAUUUUCAUACACCUGUCAUUUAAUGAUGUGAUAUGCAUAGAAAAUCUAAAAUAUAUAAUUUGAAAAUUUAAAAAUUUAAAAAAAUUUAAAUUCUUUGAAAUUUUAUUUUUUUAAUAUAUAAAUUAUAUAAAAUAUUUUAGAAAGGGCAAGUAAAUAGUUGAUGAAGUUUUAGCUCGAUUAGUAUAGACAUUAUUGCUAACGCAGGAGGACGUACUUUUAUUUAUAAAUUGAAAUGAGAUUAUAAGUAGUUUUAAAUAUUAUGUCAAAAAAAAAAGUAAAAAAUUGAGAUUAAAAAUUAACUAUAUAUAUAAAUUCUAAAGAAAUACCGUCACAUGUUCUAUUUAAAAAAUAUUUGGUAUUAUAUAUAUAUAUAAUCUUUAGAAAUCUAUCUGAAGAGUUCUUAUCAAGAAAACAAAUCUAUUUUAAAGAGUUUGAAGUUUAAAAUUUUUUAUUUGAUACUAAUUUUUCGAAUUUUAAUAUUUUGGUCAUUUCUUCAUAUAACUCUUAAAUAUUUAUAAAUUUUAUCAAUUUGGUCUUAAUUCUAGAAACAUCAACAAAUUUAACUCUUAAUUUUACAUAUUCUAUCAAUUUAAUUUUAAUUCUUAAAAAUUCAAAAUUAAAAUUAAAAAAAUUAAAAAAAUAAAAAUAUAUACUUUUAAGCAUUCAUUUUUUAAUAAAAGUACAUAAAAUAUUAUAAAAAUACAUACACAAUUACAAGUAAAUGAAUACUCGUUUUUCUCUUUUCCAACAUGAAAUUUAUUUAUUAAAAUAAUAUUUUUAUAAAUAAUAUAUAUUUUAAAAAUCUAUAAACACGCCCGUAUCUUAGACCGUGUGGGCAUUCGAAAUAGGGACACACAACCGUGUCUAUACCCGUGUAACUCUCUGGCUUGGGUCACAUGGCUAAGCCACACGCCCGUAUGUCAGGUCAUGUACCCUUUCGAAGUGGUCUCGCACGCCUGUGUGCUAGUCAUGCGUCUUACACGGCCAACUCACACGCCCAUGUGUCUAGCCGUGUAGACUCAGAAUGUACAUUAAACAACAAGUUUACCAUUUCCUACAAGCUUGGACACUAAGUAAUUCAAAAAUCAUUCGUUUAACCAGUUUAAAACACAAACAAACACAUUCAAAUCAUGUCAAACCAAUCAUCGUACCUAACCAAUGUACUUUCAUUGGUACCAUAUUUAUAUCAUCCAAACAUAUCAUCAAAGCAUUAUUCAAGUCCAAAUUAUAAACAUACAUAAUUUAAUCCAUUUUGCUUGGUUUAUGAACACUUAAACAUCAAUUUAACAUGCCAUAAUAUAACUUCAAACACAAACACAUAUUCAUAUGUAUAUACCAAAACAUUAUUAAACUUAAAACCUCAUUUACAAUCAAACCACAAAAUAACUAUUAUUUUGACACCCUAGGUACAUGCCGACACAAAAGAUAGACAUCACCACACUUGAGUUCGGGAUUGUUGUUGAAUGUUGAAUCAGUGAUCAAAAGUUAAGUACCUAACCUGCUCACGGAAAACAAAACCGUACACUGAGUAAAACUCAGUGGUAUUUCUAUAAUCCGAACAUUUAAAGACAAAACAAUAUAAUAUGCUCAAUUGAAUUAUAAGGACAUAUUAAUGUCUAGUAUCAUAACUAUCAUUUUUCAUUUGUUAAACAAUAUCCCAAUUCACACAAUUGCUAUAUAAAUGGUUAGUCACAUAUCAAACCAUAUUUAUUCAUACAAUGGCAUUAGUCAUGCAACACUCAAUUCAUGAGUAUAUAACUCAUAUACUCCAUGUAUUGCCAACAUAUUUCAUAUUCUAUUUUCAAUUCACUAUAUCACUUCCAUUUCUCAUACCAAGCCAUUUCAAUAUCAAUUAUAGAACUUUAUUAUUUAUUUACCCCAAUUAACACGACUUGGACUCGGACAGAUACACAGAUCCAAUCAAUACACCAGUUUGGCACCCAGUGCCUCAUCGGAUAAAUCUGAAAUGAUAACUGUGCUUAGCGCUAUAUAAAUUUGACACCCAAUGUCUCAUCGGUUAAACCGAAGUAAAUUGGCACUUAGUGCCUUAUCGACUCGAAGUCGAAGAAAUCGUUAAACUUUUUCAAUCCUAUUGCAUGCCAUCUAUAUCUGACUCAACUCGAUACAGUUAAUAGGGUUUAAUUUCACAUUUCAAAAACAACCAAUAUCCGGUAUCAAUUUUUUUAUAUAAUCACUUAUACACAUGAAUUCAAUUCAAAUAAUUAAUACAAUCAUAAUAUAUAUACCAAUUCAAUCAAUUUCCAUCAACUUUAAUUCAAUUCAAUAUUAAAAUGUCAAAUACUCACCUCAACCACUUACCAUAAACAUUAACUCAAAAUACAACAACUAAUAACUAGGUUCGGAUUAUAAAAAUACAAACAAGGAAUUUCGAGCUAUUCCACAUCGACUUUAUCUUUUCCCUUUUUAGUCAAAAAUUCUGGUAUGACGUUAGUUACGGAAUUAAAACAAUUAAAAUUCAUCAAUAUAACACAAUUCAAUUUCAUAUUGAAUAUUUCAAUUUUUACUCAAUAUUUUCCUAAUUUUCAAUUUAGUCUCUAAACCAAGACUAACUUUAUUUCUUUACAAUUAAUCUUAUAUUUUCAUACAAAUUCCACUUAAACUAAAUUUAACUCCCUUACUUAAAUCCCUAAAUUUCAAUUUUUUAUAAUUUAGUCCCUAUUACACAAAAUUUACAAUUUAUUCUACAAUUUAAUCCUUUUUCACUUCUAGCUUAAAAAUCUAUCAAUUUAAUCCCUAAUACUAAAAUUAUUCAACACUAACAACAUUUAAAAACUCAAUAAUUGCUAAAAUUUCGACAUAGAUAGGUAGUACUUAACACCGGGAUUCCAAAAACAUAAAAAUUACAAGAAAAAGGGACUAAAUUGACUAACCAAUUGAACUUGAAACAUUAAAACCCAUAGGGUUGUUCGUCUCCUUCUUUCUUCUUUUCUUUCCUUUUUUUCUUUUCUUUGUGUUUCAUUUUUAUCUUUCUUUUUCUUUACUUAUUCAUUUGUUUUAGAUACAUUAGUUUAUUAUUAUAUUAUAUAUAUUUACUUAAAUAUUAAGUAAAAGGCAUAUUAUAAUAUAUAUAUAUUUUAACUUUAAUUUAUUAAUAAUAUAUAAUAAUUUUACAUUUAUGUCGCCUCACUAAAAAUAAUGGCAUAAUUGGUUUUUUAGCCCUUUUAAUUAUUCUUUAAUCUAUAAUUCAACUUUAACCCUAUAUGCAAUUUAGUCCUUAUACCUAAUUACUCUUAAUUCAUGCAAAUUCACUUAACCAAAACCUAAUUAACUACACAACUUUACAAGUCUGAUUUACAAAAAUAGAGUCUCGGGAAUACACUUUCUGACACCACUGACUUUCGGGUCGUUACACUUCUCCCUCUAAUUAAAUUUCGUCCCCGAAAUUUACCUGAAAAGAGGUGGGGGUACUGAGAUUUCAUUAUCUCUUCCAAUUCUUAAGUCGCUUCCUCAACACUAUGAUUACGCCAUAACACUUUCACUUACAGAACUCGUUUAUUACGCAACUCUUUCACUUCACGUGCCAAAAUCUCAACCUAUUCUUCUUCGUACGACAAAUCAGGUUGAAUCUCAAUAUCUUCCGUCGAAAUAACAUGAUAUAGAUCCAAUCGAUAUCUUCUAAUCCAUAUUUAAAAAAGAAGAAGAAGAAACACAUCUCAAUUUUUUAAAAUUGCUUGUGAAAUAAAAAAUAAUACAUUACCAAUAUCUCAAAUACUCACUUAUAUUUUAUUCACUUGCCAAUUUAAUUUUUUUUAAAAAAUUUAUGAAAAUUUAUUUUAAAACUUGAUUAAAAAUUGUAAAAAAAAAAUUAUUCUGACAAAAUAUAAAAAUUAGAAUCUAAAAUUAAUAUAAAAAUAUUUGAAAUUUAUAAACUAUCCGAAAAAAAAUAUAAAAACUAGAUCAAAUUACCAUCUAAUUUCAACGCUAUAUAAGAUUUAAGUGUGCCCAAAAGGCGCGCCAGCUCUACUUUGGGUGUUGGGAAAUCUUUUUUUGCAUCAUAGAUAAUGACAUCCCCUAAUCCUCAGACCGCACAUUCAUAUUAUUCUUUUAUUUUGCAAUUACUGUCGAUUUAAAAAAUCAUGUAAUUUGCCUAUUACGUCUUAGCUCGAUUAAUAUGUAGUGGUGGAAUCAGAAAUUUUAUUUGGGAAUUGGAAUUAAAUUGUAUAUUUUUAUAAUAGUAAAAAUACAAUUUCAUCAUUUUAAUAGUUUAUAUCUUUAUAUUUUUUCAAGGAUUCAUCAAAUUUUUAUUAUUUUUAGGGGGCUAAAGUACAAUUUUACAAUUACAAUUUAAAAUUUGAUAAAUUAAAAAGGGCCUAAAUGGAAAAUUUUUCAUUUUAGGGCCUGCUAGCACCCCUUGUUAGUAUAUAUAUUGUUGUCAAUGCAGGAUGAAUUGGGUUCAAGUGGAGAGGAACUAUGAGUAGUUUUAGGUAUUGUGUAAAAAAGAACAAAUAUGAUCAAAAUUUUUAAUGGAAUUAUUAAAAAAAAAACAGGCAAUUUGCGCUCAUUCAGCCUUACCUAAUUAGUAUUGUAUUAAUAAAAUCCUUGACUGAGUUGGUAUUAUAAGUUAAUUGAACACCAACUCGAUUAAGAAAAUUACAAAAAUAUCUUUUAUAUUUAAAUUAAGUUAUAUUAUUUGAGGGAUACUUUAAUUUUUUAAAUUAAAAAACAAUAGAUAAAAAUCAUGCAAACGAGGGAUUUAAACUCAUGUCAAUUAUAUUGAAAAAUCUUAAUUUUACUAUUCAACCAAGGUUAUAUAUCGAUUUAUUUAUACAUUUUAAUUUUAUUAUGUACACUUUAUUACCUCUACCGAUUGUAUAAAUUAAUAAUGUUGUUGAUAAGAAAUUGUAUUCCAUUGGUAUUCUUAUUUUUAUGUAUUUAUAUGUUUAAAUUUUGUUUUAUUUACAAUUAAAUCUAUUUUAAUUUUAAUAUUAUACAUAUUUCACGUGUUAUUAUUUUUAAUUAGUUUCAAACAAUGCAUUUUAUUAUUUAUUAUAUAUUAUUUUUAAAUACAUAUUUGUAUUCUAAAUACGUAAUUUUUCUAUUAUAUGAUAGAAUUUUUAAUUUAUAAUAAUGAAAUUUAAAAAAAAAAUUGUGUUAUCCACGAACUAUUAUAAUAAUAACAAGAUUACCUUUUACCCAUUAUAUGAGUGACAAUAUUUAUUUUAUAUCUCAUAACUAUAAUUAUUUUAUAUUAGUGAAAAAUAAUUUUCAAGAAUAAUAAUUUGUUAAAGAAAGAUAAAUUAAAACAAAUUUAUAUUAAUUUUAUAAAGCGAAAUGGUGAAGUUGGGAAUUUAAUAAAUUUAAAGUUUUAAAAAAACUUGUUUUAUUCUAAUUUUAUAUAAAAGUAUAAAAAUUCCUAAUACAGUAUACGGAAAGAAUUGUAUGAAACAGUAACGUCACGUCAUUUAUAUCCCUUUCCAAUAGUUUUAUGCCACAUCAGUAUUAUUAUCCUGAAUUUUAGAAUUUUAUCCUGAAUUUCAGGAUUUUAAUUUGGAUUUAAUUUUUUUUAAGAUAAAAUCCUGAAAUUCAGGAUAAGAAUAUUGAUGUGGCAUAACACUAUUGAAAAUGAAUACAGAUGACGUGUCGUCACUAUUUCAUUCAAUCUUUUCUCAUGCAGUAUUUUAAUAAUUAUAUUAAAAAUGAUUUUUAAUAAUUAUUUUAUCGAAAUGGCGUGGAGCUAAUUUGAGAAAUCAAUAUAACAAUAAAGAAAGACAUUAAGGAAAAAGUGGUAAAACCAUGCAUUUUGUUUGAAAUAGAUGAAGAUUAUUUAAGGGGUUUUAAUCAUAAACCAUCCCACACGUAACAAAAAUACACACUGUCCAAUGACUAUGGGGUUAACAAUUGUAGCCCAUUCUACAGACCAAUCUUCUUCACUUCCCCAACUUCCAUGGCUACUCUCCUACGCUAUAUUACCACCCCCGAUGUUGCCAUGUGGCUAGCUUUCUUGCUCCUUCUCUGUCAUGGCUCUUAUCUGAAAAAUGGCUGAACCUGAAACCAUGAACAUGGUGUUGGUUUUGUAAUUAAAAGCCAAGAAGAUAAUGUUCUUCUCUCUCAAACAGCAAGUUCAUUACAAGGCAAUGUUGUUGGCUUUACUUUUAGUUUCGUUUACUCUCUCAUCUCGACCAGUUAUGUCUUUGGUUCCAAAUCAAUGCAAUGACCAAUGUGGCACCAUUCAAAUCCCAUUCCCAUUUCACUUAAACAUUUCAUGUCCUUCCAUUUCCACUGCUUUCCAUCUUUCUUGUUUAAAUUCCACCACCCUUUACCUUCAUAUUGGGUUCAAAACCUAUCGAGUCCUCGAUUUCUUCUCCGAUGGUGUACUUGUAGAUUUCGCCGGAACCACCGGUUGCCGUCAAUACAACGACUUGAACGCUUUCGGGUUUACCAAAAACGAUCACUUUGGUAUCUCUGGUGACAACGUUUUAGGCCUAUACGAUUGUGAAGACUCUUCUUUAUGUAAAGCAGCUUGUGAAACAAAUGACUUGCCUGGUUGUGAUGGCAACAAUGGUGGUUCUCUUGGAUGCUGUUAUCCACUUUCUGAUCAUAGUAUUUGGCAUUUUGGUGAUGGGUUUUCGUUUUUUUCCAAGUUUGGAUGCAGAGGAUUCACAUCAUGGGUGGUUUCUCGAGGGACCAAUACUGGAAAACGUGGGGUUAAGUUGGAAUGGGCAAUCCCUAGGAACAUAUCUGAUAGAAUUUGUGCUAAUAAUGCAGAUAUGGUGAAUGCCACUACAAUUGAAGCUGGGGUUAGGUGCUUGUGCAAGGAUGGGUUUGUGGGUGAUGGAUUUGCAAAGGGUGCUGGCUGCAUCAAGGGUGAGUACUUAAAUCAUUUAUAUAUAAUGAACUUGCACCAUCUACAUUCAGCUCUAUCUUCAUCUUUUUAGUGAUCAUUAGCAUUUAGAGAACAUUUGUGAACUUAAGUUAUUGAUUCUGGUUUACUGGUUUGGUUGUAAAAUGCCCAAAGCUCGAUCUAUGAAUGCAUUUUCAUCUUAUCGAAGAUAAGCAUAUUAUACCCCUGAGCAUCUUCAUGUUGGCCCAUCGGGUUAUCCGAACUCAAGAUUGGUGUGGAUGACCCGAGAUUGGUGUCAAUUGAAGGCUUGAGCAGCUACUCUACUGUGGAUUCAAUCCACAUGAGGUCCACGAUUUUGUAUAGGAUAAAUAUACAUUUUGAUACCAGAACUUGGUUUCAAGCUUCAAAUUGAUACUGAAUUUUUUUUGUCUAAUUAAUUAUAACUUUUCUUGGUCCAAUUACGUACUUGAACUCGGCUUCAUAGUUUAAGUUGGUUCAAAUAACUAAGUACUAAUUUGGACCAAAAAAAACCAAGUUCAAGCACUAGAUUUGCACCAAGAAACCAAGUUCAAGUACUUGAUUAGACCAAGAAAAUCAAGUUCAAGUACUUAAUUGAACCCCCCAAAAAAAAAUCUUAGGUACCAAUAUAAACCCUGAAACCAUUUUCAAGUACCAAAAUGUAUAUUUAUCCUUUCCUAUGAAGCAAAUUCUAAAUCCUGCAAGUUACUGAAAUUAAGCAUGGAAUAGUACAAAAAUAUUUUCAUUUUGGCUGAUCAAAUUAGGCUGAUUUGUAGCUAAAAUAAGAGCAUAUAACCAUUUAUGAAAUUCAAUGUCUUGUAUCUCCCUUUUAACAGCCUGCAUCAAGGAGGGACAAGAAGCAUAUGGGAAAGAAUGUGACGGGCCUAAACAUAGCCAUAAGAAACUUGUAAUUUUGGCUGGUAUGUUAUUAUAAGAUUUGAUUGUUUUGCUAAAACAUUAUCCUUAAACAUAGUCAUAUGUAUGUUAUUUUUGUGCCAUGCAGGUGUUCUUGCUCCAAUUUUCAUCCUUGUCUCCUUAUUCUUAUUCCUCUGCAUACUGAAACGACCUGUUAAACCAGGUUCUUUUCAACUCGACCAAGCUCGAUAUAACAGUACCUUAUCGUUUCGGAAAGGUUGUAGGACUAGACUGUUUAGUUACAGAGAGCUAGACGAAGCAACUAGAGCAUUCGAAGACAGUCAGAUGCUAGUAAAUGACAAAAAUGGCACAAUUCAUGCAGGUAUCCUUAGUGAUGGCUCACAUAUAGCCGUGCAGAAAGUGCAAUGCGAGACUGAACGAGACUUAAUCGAUGUUCUAUCGAGAAUUGAGCUUAUAUCAUCUGUUGUACAUAGGAAUUUAGCUCGACUGGUCGGAUGUUGUAUCGAAUCUGGUUCCACUUUAUUGGUGGUAUAUGAAUAUCCUGCAAAUGGUACCUUGGAGAAACAUUUGCAAUAUAGCAAGGGACAAAAAUUUGUUCUGGAUUGGUACAAGAGAUUGAGAAUAGCUACUGAAAUUGCAAGUAUCUUAGCAUACAUGCAAUAUGAGAUUGCUCCACCAAUCUUUCACCAUGGACUUAAAUUGUCUGACUAUGUUUUUCUCGAUGUGGAUUUCUCGGUUAAGAUUUCCGGUUUAGCAUUGCUUAGCUCGGGGUGCGGAGAUGGUCACAACAACUAUGAAAACGAUGUUUACGACUUCGGUUUGUUACUAUUAGAGAUAAUUUCAGGAAACAAAUAUACAAACAUGCCAACAGUAGCUUUAGAAAAGAUCAAGAGUGGGAAACUAGAAGAAAUAGUGGAUCCGUCUCUUUCCUACCACGAACAACCGAUAACUCGUCGAGAACAAAUUGAAACAGUUGCAGACAUAGCAACAAGGUGCUUGUUGUUUGGUGCAGAUGCCAAGAUUGGAAUGAUUGAUGUUGCAAAGGAGUUGGUACAUAUUGCAAAAGAGGGAAAUAAGAAGGGACCUGAAUUUGAAGAAACAUUUUCAAACUCAAGCUUGCUUCAAAUGAUUUCCAUGUCACCUGAUUCUAUACAUGUCCCUUGAAAAUAGCAUCUAUUUUCAUAAAAAUCAUCCAUGAAUUUCAAUUUACUCCAUUAUCAGCUACGAAGUAUAUGCUGAGCUUACCUUCAUUCACAUAUCUAAUUGCAUGUAUAGGAUUCACAACUUGUAUUUGAUGAAAACUACUUGCUGCUGGUUGUAUUACUACACAAUGUCUUUCAUAAUAUAGUUAGUGUAUGAAUAUUGCAAAAUUUGACACUUCCUCAUUGCAAUUUCCCUAUGAGUAGAGUGGUACGGUUUCAAUUUCAAGUCUUACAGAUGAAGAAAACAAUGUUACUAUGAACCCGACGAAACAACGUGGAAGGACAAUCAGUGUUCUUUCACUCCCAAUAGAUCAAUUCAGUAACUAUGGACAACCUAAUAACAUAAUAUAUCAACAAUCGAUGCAAUAAACCACAAUAUUGUAAGCAAAAAUAAUAAACUGAGACUCAUAAUUUUUAAGUGAAAAAUUACCUUAAAAGCAAAGGGUAAAAACCACGAGACUUGAAAGUCCACUAAAUGCUCUACUGUAUAAAAAGUCUUGCUACAAGAUUACAAUACAAAGCCACAACAAAAGCAUAUAACUCAACAAGAGCUAUCAAACAGUUAAUCCCAAACAAAUUUAAAAACAAAUUAAAGAGAAAAGUUGAGCAUUUCAUCCAAAAAGUGGCUGACUUUGAAAGCUGAAAACCUGAAGCUACAGUAAUCCAAACGAAAAAUGGACCAUACACAUUUCAGAUCUUCGAGUCUACUAACUACUGUAAGAAAUCAGCUCCAACAGACACCGGAUGGACCUCUAAUCGAAGAAAAUAUGAAAGUUGGUCUGGGUGUUAAAAAUACUGCUCUCAAUCUUUUGUUUUCGACUUGUGACAAAAAAAAAACAAAGGUUUUACUACCCCUAAACAUAAAUAAUAGGACUCACACAAACAAGUGAGCUAUCGCAUAAUGAGACAAUCUACGACCCAACAUAUUUGACUAUUCACAUAAGAACAAACAUAAUUAUUUAUUACAUAUUAAUAAUAAUCAAUCAGGUAAAAUUUGAGAGUAGGCAAAUUUUUAGCAAAAAAUUAACCAUAUUUAAAAGUAAAAGCCUAACCAUAGAAAAAAAAGGGAGUGCAGAGAAGACGGGGGACAUUGAACAAAGCCUUAAACCAAACCCCAUUUUUGUCUCAACAGCAGACACGAGGCAACUACAUGCCUUAAAGCAUUGACCACCCUGUUUUGUCUCUUGUUCAAAAUUUCAAGUUUCAACACUCCAUGCUAUAUAUAUUUUACCUAUAGAUCACCCACAGCUUUAGGAUCAAUAAUCUAAGGCUUUUUUUUUCCUUUAUUUUUUGUGUUUGUAUAAUAUUCUUAGCCCACAAACAAGGUACGUACAUGUGUUUUCAUUUUUUGCAUUGUUUAGGAUCACAAGAGAACCCCUUUUUAUUGUUUUGUCUAUAGUAGAAUGCAUUGCACGUUUGAAACUUUAUUCAGCUCGUAUUUCAUGGCCAUAUCAUUUCUGGGUUUAAGUGCAAACGCACAAGUUCCAGUAAGAUUUUAUUGAAAUCCUACUAGAAUUUAUGUUUCAAAGCUUUGAACUUUGGGCAUAAGUGUAAAGCAUUUUUGUCCAUUAACAUUGAUGACUGGACUAACAUAAAAUUAUCAUAAUUUGAUUGAAAAAAAGAUGGCUGAAGGAGAAGCAAAUGCAAAUGAAACUUCACGUCAAGCACCUAAGUUGAAUGAAAGGAUCCUUUCAUCUUUAUCAAGGAGAUCAGUUGCUGCACAUCCUUGGCAUGAUCUUGAGAUUGGUACUUAUCCCAUUAAUGAAUGAUUCAUGUUUGUGAUAUUGUUUAAGUGAAUAAUCACAUUGGGAAACUAAUCUUUUGGUAAAAUAUCGUCUACAGGGCCCGAUGCUCCGAAUGUUUUCAACUGUGUAUGUGUUCUUUCUAAGGGCUAAAAAUUAUGUUUGACAUUACAUUCAUCCAUACAAGCAAAUUUUUGUUUUUGUGUUCAACUGGACAGGUUGUUGAGAUAGCAAAAGGUAGCAAGGUCAAAUAUGAACUUGACAAGAAAACCGGAAUGAUUAAGGUACGAAAUGCUUUACAUCAGACCGGUUGUUCCGUCCCCAUCGUUCAAAUACUACCGGUCAUGUUGCAUGUGUUCUCACUGUUUAAAACGAAUCUCAGGUCGAUCGAGUUCUGUAUUCUUCGGUGGUCUAUCCACACAACUACGGUUUCAUCCCUCGUACACUAUGCGAAGACAACGAUCCAUUGGAUUGUUUGGUUAUAAUGCAGGUGAACUUCCUGCAUGCCAAAUUUAGAUUAGUCCUACAACUUGAUUGUUACAUAUGACAUUUCGUUCUGAUAGGAACCUGUUGUUCCCGGAUGUUUCGUGCGAGCCAGAGCACUUGGACUAAUGCCAAUGAUUGACCAGGUAUAUUAUCAUCAUUUCCUUUGAAGUAUAUCCUUUUUGACACUUCUUUUUUAUUCUAACUACUUCAUCAUUGUCAACAUAGGGGGAGAAAGAUGAUAAGAUCAUUGCAGUUUGUGCCGAUGAUCCCGAAUACAAACACUACACUGAUAUCAAAGAACUUCCUCCUCACCGCCUUACCGAGAUCAAACGUUUCUUCGAAGACUGUAUCCUUUUCCAUCUCGAAUCCAUAAAAAUCCCAUUGUUCCCCCUAUUGUUCUAGAUUUUCUUAACAUAACACAGACAAGAAAAAUGAGAACAAAGAGGUGGCAGUGAAUGACAUUUUACCUUCAAGCACUGCAUUUGAAGCCAUACAGCAUUCAAUGUAAAACCCUUUCCUUUAAAACAUAUAUAUCUGAUAAGGUAAUUUCCCAUAUCUGAUACUGCGUUGUUUUUUGCUAUGGUAAUGCAGGGACCUGUAUGGAGAGUACCUUCUGCAAACUCUGAGUAAAUAGGCAAAAAGAAGCUAUUUUUAUCAAUUCAUCAUGCAUCAUGUUCAUAAUACUAAAUAAAACAAUCUUGCCAAUAAGAUUGAUUACAUUAUUUUUUUGUAGUUAUUGAAAAUUAUAUUAUUGUUUACUGGAUUGAAAGUUAAAAUUCUCUUGUAGGGGAAAAACAAAAUUGAUAAACACAAUGUUGAUCACUUACUAGAAUGGUGAUUGGGAUUUUCUCCUAUCUUCUGUAAUCUUUGUAGAGAUAUUUUUGAUGAAUAAUAAUAACCUUACUGAAACAACUGUGAUAAAAAAAAAAAAAGGGUGCCAUUUGUUAUUCAUAAAACAUAUGAUCAAUCAUGGUUCUCUUUCAUAUUUUUGUGACCAAAAUUUGGUUAAAAUAUUAUUGAAGUCAUUGUACUCUUCCUACAAUUGAAAUUUAAUCUUUCUACUUUUAUUUUCAUAAAUUUAGUCUUUACAUUCUUCAAAUUUCAAAUUUUAGGUUCCUUGUUGAUACAGUUAAAAUUUUUCUAUUAAACUCACUGGUUUGAUAUUUUGAAAAAAAAAAAAUCAUUUGAUACUAUGCAUGUAACAAAAAGAUAAUAUUGUAUUGAAUUUGAAUUUAAUAGAAGAAGAUCCUUUUUUGGCCCUCUCUUUAAUUCUAUGUCUCUUAUCUCUAGGAGGUCUUCUUCCACUAGCAGGUUUUUUUGAAAAACUCUAUUUAUUUUGGUAUGGAUGGCAACCAGGCCUAUAUUUCUUGGUUUCAAUAGAACUCCUUACGAGCGUUAUUUAUAUAUACUAUUAUCUAAAAAUAAUUAGACUGGACGAAACUAAGAAAUAACCCCUUACGUGCGAAAUUAUAGAAGAUCUCCUUUAAGAUCAAACAAUUCCAUCGAAUUAAGUAUGAUUGCAUGUGUGAUAGCAUCUACUAUACUAGGAAUAUCAAUUAACCCAAUUAUUACAAUUGCUCAGGAUACCCUUUUUUAGUUUAGCUUCUAGAAUCUAUUUCUUAGUUCAAGGUCUCUCUUUACUAACUAGAAUCAAAGAAUUAGUAGAUUUGUCUCGCUUAAACCGUGUUAAUAAUUAGACUUACAUUUUAAAAUUUAAAAAGUAAAAGCACUAAUUCCUUUCUUUCCGAGAUUAAAGGAAAAACAAAAUUGAUAAAUAGAAUGUUAUUCACUUAUUAGAAUGGUGUCUGAGAUUUUUUUUCCCUAUUUUUGUAAUAUUUUUAGAGAUUUUUUUUCUUUCUUUUUUGUUGAAUAACCUUGUUGAAAUAACUGUGAUCAGAAGGUGCUAUUUGUGUAAUACAUCAUAAAACAUAUGAUCUGUCAUGAGCAAAAACGGGUUAAAAUAUGCUCAAAAUUUAUGUUUUUUUUUAAAGAAAUUAGUUGAUAUAUUUUUUAGAUUUAAAAUUUUAGUUUCGUAUUGUUAAAAAUUUUCUGCUAAAUUAUUUUCCUAACAUUUUGAAAUAAUAAAAAAAAAUCUUAUAAUGAAGUGACAUAAAAAAUCUCAUAAUAGUUGGAUCUUGUCUGAUUCUUUUAAAUAAACAGUUGAGAUAAAAAGGGAGGAAAAGAAACGCCAAUUUACUAUUGGUCAUGCCACGUAAAAUUUGUAUUAAAAAAUAUGAGUUUAUGUUUUAACCAAUUCAAUGGAUUUUAACAUUAAAGAAUGAGAUAAAAUAUUUUUUAAAGGAAAACAACAUAUUGAUAAAUGGUUUAACAAGUUCCAUGCCAAAGCACAAUUUCCUAGUUUCUAAUGUGGUUAAAUUAAGUGGUUACAGUCUCCUCAAUUUUAUUUUUUAAUUAUGAUUAUUGAUUUAAAAGGUAUCUCACGCAAUCACACUUUAAUAAUAUUUCAUCUCAAACAUUAUUCUAUAGGAGAUUUAAAUUUAACACAAAAAAUUAUCAAUAUUAACAAAAUUUUUAUUUUUAAUUCUAAAAAAUAAAAAACUAAAAUAUUAAAAUAUUAAAUUCCAAAUUAUGUCAGUCAGCCAUUAUUCAUUUCCUACACGUAUUUAGGCAUGGACUCAUAGGUCUUAACUUGAUCUAUUUAUGAGUUAAGUAGCGCUCUGGGCCCGAUAAAUAAUUUUGCAUUUUGAGUUGGUUCCGCCCAAAUUUAAUUUAAAUAAUAAAAAUUAUAUUUAAAUUUAAUUAUAAAAUAUAUAAAAGAAUUUUGUAAUCGAGAUUCUACCUAAUUUUUGUAUAAGUUUUUUUUUUUAUUUUAGGGUAAGAAUAAAAGAUAGAGAUUAAAAUUUUUUAUAUAGUGAAUCUCAUAAAUAAGAUAAAAAAAGAAUGACGACAGAUAAAAAUAAAAAAUCUCUAGAGGGAUUUGUUGUUGCUCAUAUUUUACAAAAAAUAUCUACUUAUAAAUCUGAUCAUAUUAGAGUUCACCUAAAAGCAUUUGAGAUUUCGACCAUGCUCCAGAGUCUUUUUGAUUGAUCGUUCGAGAAUUAUGCUCUUUAGCUCUGGAAUUGAAUAAUUUCCUUGUAUCUAAAAAGAACUUCCAAAUUAAUAGGGAGGAAGCUUAAUCAGAAUACUCAAAUAACAGUUUUUAUUUUUCUUCAUUUAUUUCAUUUCUCCAAUAAUAUUAUAUAUAUAUAUAUAUCUGUUGUGGCACUAAGAAAAUUAAGUUGAGAUUGAAGUUGAUUUUAAAUUUAAGUCGUGUUUAAUUUAAUUUUGAGAUUGAAAUAUUUCAUAUUUAAAUUAUUUUAAAUUUAAAUUUCAUUUUGAAUUAUUUGAAAUGUGUUUGUAAGUUUAAUAAUUAAAUUUGUAUUAUUCCAAAUCACAAUCCUUAAAAUCUUUAAAAUUCAAGACUUAGAUGCACCGCAUUGAAAGCUGCCAUGGAAGCCAAAAUUGCUCAUUAAAUUGAAAUUUGACAUCUAAGGCCAUGGAAAAACAUCAAGUGAGUGAACAAGCAAACCAUCAAUUCAAUGUUUUGGGUAUUUUUCAAACAUAGAAUUAUAAAAUUUUCGAAUUUUGAAACAUUUGUAAUAUUCACUUUGUAAAAAAACUGUCGAGGAAUUAAGAUUUUUAAUAAAUUUAAAAUAUUUCUACAUCGCAAAUAAUUUACAUAUCACACGUUAUGAAAUUAAAUCUAACUUUGCUUACUUCAAAAUAUUCCUACUCUAUGAACACGUCAGAACUCUCGACCAUAUAAAAUAAAUAAAUAAAACCUUGUUAUAUCUUUAAAAUGGAUAUAGAACAAGGACCCUCAAAGAUCUGAAAUUGAUAAUACACACACUGCAACGAAACAUGAUUAAGGGCAGCCGACAUGAUGAUGAUGAUGAUCAAAUUUAUCAAAACAGGUACACGUAAUAUCCAAAAAGGAGAGUCAUAAAAAUUGGGGGAUUCGAUUUUAACCACCGAAAGGGUUAGAUUUUUAUGGCUUUUGGGAUAUAUUAAGUUAGGCCAAUGGACCGACAUGACAUCAUCAUGUUCAAUGUCAACUAUGUCUGCUGAAAUCCAAAGGGAAUUUGGGGUCCUUUCAAGUUAAAUCUUGACCAGGUAAUUUCAAGGAUAUUUGGUUUUGCAUUCUCUAUAUAAUGUGAAACCAAAUGCGCAUGAAAAAGUGUUAUAAUCUAAUAAAAGGACUAUAAAGUAUAGCUAAAGUCCCACCAACAUUAGACCCUACUUUACAAAGUGCAUCUGUCUCACGCUUCCAUUACAUCAUCGUCAUUAUUAUAAUAAUAAUAAUUAAUAAACGUGUCCCAUCAAUUAACUGAGAUUUUAAAAAUUUUAACAAGUUUAUCCAAAGCUGAAACCAUAAGAAAGGUAAAGAACUUAACACCCUCUCAAAUGAGAAAUUUUAAUUGAUAAUAUAUACAUAUUUUUUAUUUUUUAAGUUUUUUAAUCAUUCAAAUAAAUUGUAAAUUUUGUAAUUUUGGGCUCUUAUAAAAAUUAAUAAUAUAAUUUAAUUCUUUUUAAUAUAAAUUUUUUACCUUCAACUUUCCUUUGACAAAGUUUUUGGCUUCGUCCUAGUUUCAUCUUAUAUAAAUGUGUGAGUUUUUUUUUCGUAUGGUUAGUUAGCAUGAUGAAGUUAGGGUAAACAAUUACCUUGGUCUCAAAAUAAUAAAUUUAUUAUAUAGUCCAUUCGAAAUUUAUGAAAUCAUAAGUUACUAUAACAAUAAAAUUACAUUUUAACUUACAAAAAAAAUCAUUAUUUAUUUUUUUAUCUUCUGAAGUAAUUUUUUAACUUCGCGCUAUUAGUUAUUCAAUUUAAUAGUUGUAAACUGUUAUUCAAUUCAAAUAGGAAAUUUUAAUUAAUAUAGUUUCUGCAAGUAAUAAAUUUUCAUUUUUAAAAUUUUUAAUCUUUUAAAUAAAUGAAAAUUUUCUAAUUUUUAAAAACAUAAUUUAAUCCUUUUUUAAAAUAAAAUUUUUAUCUUUGGCCUCCCUUUGACGAAGUUUUUGACUACUCCCUAGUUUCAUCUGGGUUUUCUUUCAUAUAGUUAGUUAGCAGGGUGAAGAUAUGGUAGACAAUUGACAUUAGUCUCAAAAUGAUAAAUUUGUUACAUAGUCCCUUUAAAAAUUAUUAAAUCACCAAUUAAUAUAAUAGUCAAACUACAUUUUAACUCAAAAAAUUAUUGUUCAUUUUUUAUCGUCUAAAAUAAUUUUCUGAUUUCGUCCUAUCAGUCAAUUUAAUAGUUGUAAAGGUGACCGGCCGUCCACUCACUGCAUUGUACACCAAUUUGAUAGAAGUUUCAAUAGAUUUCAUUUUUCUACUUUAUGCAUUAUCAAACAGAAGACCUGAUAAAAGGGACCCAUCUUUUACGACUAAGCCCAACAAUCAGACUUGAAUGGGUUAAUUUUAUUUAACAUCCUCAAACUAUCGUGAUGAUUUUAAUUUGGUCCAUGAACUUUAAACAUUUUGAUUGGGUCAUGAAAUUAUUAAUAUUUUAUUAAUUAAGUUUUUUGGUGUGAUCACCAAUUUAGUCAUUAAAUGUCAAUCCAAGCUUGAUGUGAAGCAUAUUUAAAAUACAUGAAUCAAAUCGUAAAUACAUAUGUAAUUAUCGCAUUUUAGAAAAAUGAUUAGAAAAAUGGAACAAGAAAAUUAUAAAUAACAUUAGUAAAGUAUGAUGUCUUUGGGGCAUGUAAAACACACUCCUUAAAGUUUUCGUACGCCUCAAAAAUAUAAAAAAGCCUUAGAUAAAGGUGUGCAAGAUAUCAAUUAAACCAACUAAAUUGAGAAAACCAAAUUGAAUACAUUGAAUAAUAUUGGUUUUCAAUUUAUUUGUUUUAGGUGGUUUAUUGGCUUGGUUAUCGAUUUUGGAUAUCCAAAUCAAAUAAAUUGGUUAAACAUUAAACCAAGACAUAUAUUCAAAUACACAAUACUCACUUCCUUGUAUAUAAACCAACACAAAAAUAAAAUAAUCCAACCCUGUUAUAAAUAUUUUAUUAUUAAGUGGAUGUCCAUCAAGAUCAAUAUAAGUUUGAUAUACUUUCGAGUUCUAAUUAUAACACCCCAAACCCGGCCUAGACGUUAUGGCCGAAUCUGGGAAUGUUACAAAGAAUGGUUCAGAAUCCAAUCUUAUCAUGUUAAAAACCUCGUAUAAUUUAUUAUUAAAAGAGUCCACAUUUUGGGAAAACAUAUUAUUAUACUCUUUAAUGAAACCAUCCAUUGUUUAUCUUUAAGUAAAACAAAAAUUUGUAGCGAAAGUUUAAAAGUCGUUAUAUUUUGAAAACUGAGUUUGUGAUGUGAGCGUCCCAAGACAAAAAUAAAAACACAUCCAAACCCAAAAAUCAACAACAAAACCAAAAGUCCAAAGAGUCCUAUAUUUACAAAACUCUAAAGAAAAACCAGACAUUUUAAUAAACUAUUAAGUAAAAACAGUUCACGGACCAGUGAUCACCACUGAGCCUCUGUCGCACCGACCUGCCUAUGCUUGAAGAUUACCUGAACAAAACAAACAAACAGAUGUGAGUUUUCAAAAACUCAGUGUGUAACUUAACGGAAACAUACAUACAUAUAUAUACUCAGGUUUCUCACAUAACAGAACAGAUACGGACAUAAGUCCUUAACAAAAUUAGAUUAUCUCAAAAUCAUGCAAAUAUGCAAAGUCUUACCUCCAUCCUUUACACGCCAAUUCCGACCAUCCCAAUACGCCACAUGGGUUAUAAAACACCACCCUACCCCACACACCACAUAAUGUCCUUACGACACUUAUCAGAAUAAGUUGCAGCCAUGCUACUAGUAUAUUGGCGAAAUGUCGCCUCACAAAAUACUUCCUCCAUAUAUGCAUAUCCUACCCCAUACACAGAUACAAAUAACAGAAUAACAAAUAUGUCAGAACUAACAUGUCCCGCUUGCUCAUAUACAGAUAUUACACAUGUUUAUACAUAAUAAUCAAAUCAUACAUAUUGUAUUUCAUUAUACUCAAACCAAUCUAAUAGAAGAGCAGAUUUCAUGCUUUAGGGUUUGUUUUGCCCUUAUCAACCCUACGGAAGACCCACAGUUGAUCGAAAUGAUAUGUGCGACCCUAAAGAAAAAUUUUGAAUUUUGGGCCCACAUGCUCGUGUAGCUUACUUGUGUGGGCCCACACGCUCAAAUCGGCCAGGUCACACGGCCGAGUGCAGCCAGGCACACGCUUGUGUGGCGUCAACAGGCUAGUUUUUCAGCUUUCGCUAAUCGACGUUUUCUCGCGUUUUUGUUACACACCUGGUUCAUUUUUUUUGUGAAAGCAAUCUCGAGACCUCCGAAACCUAAAAAUAGUAUACCAAACACCGUUUUAGCAAUUAAUUUACAAAUUCGUCAACACUAAACCGAACAUCGCACACAACUUAUAGUUGACGAAAACCACCACUAACACAAUUUAGGCCAUUAGAGCGAAACCCACUGCUUCACAUCCUUCUCCUACACAACAUGUUCGGAGAAAAUCAAACUCCCUAAUUACACACCAUUACGCUAUUAUGAAAAUAAUAAUUCUAAAUGGCUUUACAGAAAUCGAAAGCUACAAGCAAGUGAAACCCCACUUACCAAAUCGUACGAAGAACAUCGAAAAUUUGAAAUGCAACAAUAAAAACAAAAGAUUGUGAACAGAAUUGAAGGGAAAACGAAAAAAAAGUUGUAGAGAAAGGAAGAGGAGGAAAGGUCAGAAAGAGAGGAAAUUUUGGGGAAAAAAUAAAAAUAAAAAUAUUUUUAAAAAUAAAAAAUCACUAAAUUCCCCAAGUCCCCACUUACCCACUAACCAGUAUAAUCCCACCAAAUUCAACACAUCAAUCCACAUCCAACUACCUCAAAAUUUCAACUCUAUUGAACCUUUAUCAGACAACCGAAAUAAAAAUUAUUAUCCAUACUCACACAGAGAUUCAAACAUGAAACCUUAAGACAAGUUAGCACCUUACCAUCUGAACCAACAAACUCAUUUUGAUAUGAUUUGACUAGAAAUAAAAUAUAAAUCAAACCUCCAAGGAAAAGGCUAGGAUAAAAAAUAACAUAUUUUUCCAAAAGUGGGACUUGAACCCAAGACCUCAAACAUACACCCACAUCGCUUAACCACUAAAGCAAAUACUCAAUUGUAACAAUUUUCACAAAAACAAAGUUAAAUAAAUUAGGGCGUUACACUAAUAAUCAUUAGAAGUAGAGUUUUCUUUCAUUUAUACUUCUUAUGUCUAUAAAUAUAAACUUUGGAAAAGCAUUGUAAGCAUCCUAUUGAUGAAUAAAAUAUCGUAAUUCUUUUGCUUUCCUAAUUUCUUUGUUCCUUACUCUCUUUUACCUUUAUUUCAUAACACGUUUCAACAUGAUUUUCUUCUAAACUUUCUUGUUCUUAAUUAUUUCUUGUAGGCUAAAAAUAAACUUUUUUUCUUCUUAAUCAUUUCUCGUAAACCCCAAACAAAAUUAUGGAAAAAAAUUCAUAGCUUAACCAAAAUCAAACCCAAGGCUUAGAAGUUUAUGGCUCAUUUUUUUAAGGAUUCAACCGACCAAAUAUUAUCAUUAUUGUAUGUGAAGAAAUCUAUAAAAUCAAUUGUCCUUGUAUUUCAAGAAAAAAAAGUUCUCAUAAGGAAUCAAACCUAUGCCCUAUUUAUUUCACCCAAGUUUUUUUAACCAUUUAGCCGUUCAAAAUUUAUCAGUAUUUUAAAUCAAGAAAUUUAUAAAUCUUAUUACAGCUAGAGAAGAAAAGAAAACCAAAACAAGCGCAAUGAAAGACCUUCAACAACUCUCUCACCUUUUGGCCGUGAUUAAUUUUAAUUUUUAUUCAUGAUUAAUUAUGAUUGAUUUGAUUGUUUUAAUUCUAUUUUUUCAGGAUGGUGAAAGAUUUGAUCUUAGCAUUGAUUUUGGUUCUUGAUUUGGAUUUAUCAAGCAAACUUUAGAUAGGUAUGGGGCUUCAACUAUUCAGUCACAUCAAAUACUGUAACACCUCUCACCAUAUUCAAUUGUCGGAUCUGAGUUACAAGAUGUCACAUUCGUUGCUGGAGCAACUAUAGUCAAAUACACCGUAAAUAUAUUAUUCAAACAUACAAUCAUGUCAAAAACACAUUCACAUUAUGAUAUACAAUUAAAUCUGAGCCUUAAUCAAGCUUACAAAAGCUCUUUAUCAUCCUGAGAAUGAACUUGGACUAAACUAAAAAUUUUCAAAAUGUAUCAAAAUGGUAUCGCGAUAUCUAAAGCACGAUAUCGCGAAACUGAAAGUAGUAUCAAAACUUCAAAAUAAAUUAGGUAGGUAUUGCGAUGUCCAAGGUCUGGAAUUACGAUAUCAACGAAAGUAGUCAAGCUUCCCAACUUGAGGACCCAAUUGAAAAAUUCUCAAAUACACAACAAAUGGGUAUCACAAUAUCUAGGGGGUGAUAUCGUGAUACCAAAAAUAGUCCACUAAUUCCCCUGUUUUUUGCCAAAACACAACUUUUGUACCAAUUUCAUAACAGCCUUUCAAACUUCUCAUUUGGUGGAUUUUGCACUAUAUUUUCUUGUAUAAAAACAUACAAAUACAUGCCAAAACAUAGUAUUUAACCAAUUACAAUCAUUCAUUCCAAUAUAUCUCAAUUUCGCAUCAUAACCUACCAAUUCAACCUAUUCAAACUUAACUUAUACAAUCAUGCCUUUUAGCCAUUCCAACCAUCAUUUCUGUCAUUCUAUUUCACACUCAAAUUUAGCCAUAUAUAUAACUUAACACAUUACCAAAACACACACACACACACACACACACACACACACACACACACACACACACACACACACACACACACACACACACACACACACACACACACACACACACACACACACACACACACACACACACAUAUAUAAACAUUAUCUCUCCUAAAACCAAGCAUUAACCAAGGUUCAAAUCAAAACUAUUAUUCCCAAGUCAACACAUAUAUAAACUCCUAUGAACAUGCCACAUAAUCGAACUUUAGAAUGUUUGAAAAAUUACCAAAUUAAUAAUGGAAUAGUGUGAGCUUCUCGACAAUCCGCUUGACAUGUUCCACAAGUUGGCAAUAUACAAGGGAAAUGACAAAUAACAGGGUAAACAUAUCGAUUGCUUAGUAAGUUCAUAGGCAUUAAACAACAACUUACCUCAAUUUACAAUUUAAUACAAUAAGCUACUAGCUUAACUAGUUGAGUUCAACAUAUAAUCAUAUCAUAUAAUAGUUCACUUAAUCAAUCAACAUUUAAUAAAUUCACUAUCUUAUUCAUAUCAUUCCAUCUAUUUAUCAACAAUACAUCCAAUUUCAAUUUAAUGUCAAUCACUAUUUCGUUUCAUUAAUCGAAUUCAUUGAUUUGUCACAUUUCUAUAUCGGCCUUCCAGGAUCGUAUAAUAGGUUCGCAUGAUCUUUCACAUGUUAUCGAUAUUCGCUUAUCAAAAUAUGUAUUCGUACCAUCAAAUCAUAAUAUCAACGUAAUUCAAGUAUCAUUUAUCAUAUUUACAUUUUAUAUCCCUAUUAACCUGACUUGGACUCAAACGGAUACACAGAUCCAAUUUGGCACUAGUGCCUUAUCAGACAAAUCCGAAGUAAAUAGUUUGCACCCAACGCUCAUUGGUAUAAUUGAAGUAAAAGUUGUGUCCAGCAUUCAUCAACAUGUAGUCGAAGUAACUCGUACUCUAUCUAUCUUAUGGAAUACCAACUAUAUCUGACUUUGCCCGAACAAUUAAUAAGGUAACAAUUUAUUCAAAUCAUCAUUUUGUUUAAUUCAAAAUUCAUCAAUUCAAUCAUAGUUCGAAUCAUCAAUUCAUCACAUAGCAUAUCUCAUUUCAACCUAAUUCAAAGUUAAUUCCAUAAGUUCACCGAAUUACACCAUUUUUAAUACUAUUUAAUUUAGUCCUCUAUCUCGAUAAUCAAAUAUAAUCAUACCAAUUUGAUUCAAUUCAACUAAUAUAUUUCAAAUUGCAAUUCACCAUAUUCAAUUUAUCAUUUCAUUACAAUUUAGUCCAUAUCUCACCUUUUGUACCAAAUCGCAAACAAUUUAAUUUACUAUCAAACAUACAAAAAUUCAUAAUUAAAAUAUGUAACAACUUAAGCAUAACCAUAUCAUAUGAACUCACCUGGUUAAAUAAAAAAAAGUGAGAACUUCAAGGGCUAUUCAACAAUUUUAUCUUUUCCUCGAUUAAUUAUAAUUUGUUCCAAUUCUUGAUCUAUACAACUAUUCAAUUCAAUUUAUCAAUUCCAAACAUCUUAUAACACCCUUUUUUAAGUAUAAAUUAGUUCAAUUUCAUCUUUUGAAUUCCCCUUAAAAUUUUGCAUUUUAUUCAAUUUAAUCCCUAAAACUAAAAUUGUCAUAACUUUCAAAUUUGAGCUUCGAUUUUGAAAUCGAUUGAUAAACCAUAAAAGUAACAUGUUUGAAUCUCAUACUUGAUAUCUUUUUGGAUGAUUUAUUAUGUAAAUGAGUGAAUUUGAUGCUCCUAAUCCUUUAAAUUUAUGUUUCUAUACUUAAGUGAGCAUAGGAAAGUGAAAUGAGCAAAAAAGGGGCCAAAAUUGGACAAAAAAAGCUAUUUUCAGGAACCACACGGGCUGGCCACACACCCAUGUGCCCGCGCCUGUCGAUUUCAAGCCCUGCUUCUCUUUUAUGCGAAAAAACCCAAUUUUUAGGGUUUUUGAGCAUUCUAAAGUUUAUAAAUACAUAUCAGAAGAGGACUAAGGGGAGCACGCAAAAUAGAACGAAGAAAUUACUCGAAGAACGCCAUCGAAAUCAACCCAGAAGAAGAUCUCUUUCAAGAUUGAAUAUCUCCAUUCAAAUUUCCUUUGAAGUUUUAUUCUAAUUUUGAGAUGUUUCCCUCCCAGAUUAUGAACUAAAUUCCCUUGAUACCUAUGAUGGAUCUUAUUAUUUGAUGAAACCUAUGAUGGAUCUUAUUAUUUGAUUUUCUGAAUUAUAUAAUAAAUACUUGAUUCUUGUUCUCAAUUAUGUAUGCUUAUUUCUUGUUUUAAUAUUUUCAGGAUAUUUAUUCAAGUGUGAUGUGCUUAUUACAGUGGAGCAAAAGUCCUUGUUUAAGAGUAGAUCUGGCAUAAUUGAGUGGAGUUGCAUUUAAUCUUAGAAAUAAGACGACAUAAAUUUAUCGGAUUAGAGUCAAAUUUAAUAGGGGAUCUAUAGAUUGAGUUAAUGCAACAAUAGAGGUUUUAAUUAGAAAGAGAUUUCAAUUAAUCAACCUAGAGUCAGCUGUUCUUACUCUCGAAAGAGAUAUUAACAUAAAUUACGGAUUUCUACGGAUCAAAGCACAAAUGAAUAAAUCGUCUAAUUCAGAUUCAGAAUAAUAAGUGAAGUCUAGGUGGAUUCUUUCCUAGGUAUUGUCUAUAUCAUUGGUUUUCUUCAAGUAUUUUCUUAAUUCAUUCUCUGUCUGUAACACCCCAAACCCGGCCUAAAAGUUUAGACUGAAUUCAAAAUGCUACAUUGAUGACCAAAGUGACCGUGAGAAAAUAUUUAUAUAAACAUCCUUUGCUCGAUUUUCGAAAAACAUAAAUAUCUCAUGUUCAAAGUCCGAAUAAUAAAAUGAUUAAAACAUAAAACAGCAUUCUACUAUAGUGUUAAUAAAAACCUUACUUUCAAAACUGAAUAACAAAUAGAAAUCAGAAACCAUAACUAAUAAUUUAUUAGUCUCAAAUUGCCUGAGUCCUUCGCAUACAGAGUCCAGCAACAAAAUUCCGAAAUGUACCUGAAAGGGGAAAUAGAAGAGGGGGUAAGCUAUACAAGCUUAGUGUGAGAUCAAACUAACUAAUACUGAAACAAAAAUAAAUACAGUAAACUUGAAAAUAGUUCAGCAACGGAACAUACUUACAGAGUGGCUUAACAAAACAGACAAUAUGUAACUUUACAAUCAUAUGGCUCUGUUAAACACAAUACCUAAAAUUCUCAAAAGUCACAAACUGGGCCUAAGCCCUUUCUCAGAAUCCGAGUCGAUUGGGCCUUAGCCCAUCACACAAAAUUCCUUUAGGCAUGAGUGCCUUCCAGUCAAAUAUUGCAAUUGGAUUUUCCAGACAAUCAGACAGAAAUGUUUCAGUCAACCAGAUAUAGCAGUCACAGAACAAACAGAUGCAUAUGAGUGCAAAUGAGUUAUAAAAUAACCCACCCAUCAAACUAACACACCAUCUUCGUCCCCCAUCAAACCUCAAUAGAGCUAUAAGCUCAUUCAACCAAUCACUCCAAUUAGGACCUCGAAAAGGCCAUUUAACCUUAUAUCCCCUAUACACUGUCCAUGACCCUCAGGGAAUUGAGACUAUUAGAAAGCUGUACAGUGCCAUGCAGAGACUGCGAUAUAGACAUGUAGUAUAACUGCCAGAUCAGAUACAUUACGCAGCAAAGCUAGCGUAUACUGUACUGUGUUAUGCGGUGAACCACGGUACAGAUGUGCAAUAUAAACUGCCAGAUCAGAUAAUAGUAAGUAGCGUAGCUACCGUACAUGCGGUACAGUGCAAGGCGGUAAACCGCUAUACCGUUAAUGGAAAUGUCCACGACCUUCAGGGUAUUGGGACUGCCUAUGACCUUCUGGGGAUUAUUAAGGCAUUCAGAAUGCAGAUCAACUGCCAGAUCGUAAAUCUCCCUUCACUUCAACAACCCACCCAAAAAGGUUUAUGUAGAUGAAUGUAUACGAUGGUAUGAAUGCCAAUGUAUCAAUCCACAACACAAUCUUAAACGGACAUUCAGAAAAUAUUCACUUGCAAUCAGUCAAUCAAUUACAGAAACAUGCACACUUGUGCACUCAGAUUCGAUACCUAACAUGUCACACUUCAAUCAAAAGCAGUACAUAAAUCGAGGUGAGAACAGAGUCAUAAUCACCCUCAGAAAUUUUAGUCGAAAGGUUGGAAAAAACAGAGAUCACGAAUACACUUAAAUCAACCUAAAAUCAAACUUGGCGAGAUAGGGCCACACAUCUGUGUGCUCCGACCGUGUGGAGCACUUCAGGCCGUGUGGGGAUCCAUACGCCCGUGUAAGGAGUAGCACACAGCCGUGUCGCAGAGGCACACACCCAUGUGGUGCAGAGCCAUGGCCGUGUAAGACACUGUCCAAUUUCGCUAAAUUCAAGUGCAAGGUAGACACGACCGUGUGAAGGUGUCCCAUGCCCGUGUGGCAAUUAGACACGGCCGUGUGUCCCACAACAUAUGCCCGUGUGGAAUCCCUAGGCCCCAAAUUAGCUACACGGCCGUGUGUCCCAAAACACACGCCCGUGUGAGAACCCUAAAAUUCCCAAAUCAGUCACACGGCCGUACGGCCAGGCCGUGUGACCCUAAAUCUCAAAUCCCUAAUUCCCAAACUCACACGCUCGUGUGGUUCCCGACAAAAAUCCCCAAAUCGGUCACAUGUCCGUGGCCAGGCCGUGUGGCCUCCAUAACUAGCCUGAAACCCUAAUCCCCAAAUGCAUAAGACCGUGUGCCUCGACGCACGCCCGUGUAGCUGUCAGGGCAAUCACAAAACCACUCCAAAAUAGCCCCAAAGACACCGCUUAAGCCCCAAAACAACCUUUCCCUAUCAACAGUACAUUAGAAAGUGGCGAUUUUCCACUACCUCCAUCGACUAACAUUCCAAAAAUAAUAGUUUAACAUACUGAAAAGAAGAGCCAAAACAAUUACAUAAAACAAAAGAGAAAGUAGUCCUAGUUCGAAUCCCACACCUGUUUGACGGUGAAGAAGACAUGAUAGAGGAGUCAAAAAAUCAAAGCCCUUCGACCCCACAACACUACCGAUCCAAAAACGUGGAGAAGAAAACUGGAGCCAAUACCAAAAAGAAAAGAAUAGAAACUAACGUACAAAGAACAAGAAAAUCAAAGAGAAUAAAAUAAUAUAAAUUAGAAUAAUAACUCAUAAUAAAUGAUAAUAUCCCUAAUCACAAUUAAUAAAACAGUUACUUAAACUUUAACUUAAAAUAGAAAUAACUAAAAAGUUUUCUAAAACGCCCACACAGUAACACGAACUCCAGACCUCCAACACACUAACACACACCUUAACCAUUAGACCAGCAGCCUCAUUCUUAUCACUAAACUGCACAACUUAGCUUAUGUGUGUAGCCUCCCCACUAUCCCUACGCUCAAAACCCAAAACUUCUAGGCCCAAAAUUUAGGGCGUUACACUGUCACAAUCUUAGUAAUUAGUUUAGUUAAUUUUAAAUUAAAAACAUCCCUUUUAAUUUAUAGGCUAUGUAACAGGCCUAUUUUGCCCGGCCCAGGCCCAAACAAAAAAAAACCAAGCCCAUUAAAAAUAGGCCCAAACUAUGGAAACCAUAGCUCCUUUUGCGUUGCUGCCCACGUCCUUGUGCCGCUGCCCACGUGCUUUCGCAGCACACCCACUACCCGAGAUUUAGCCUCCUUGCACCAGAAUAGAAAGGUUCCCCCGUUGACCCCAGCGUCUAUAAAAAGGAAAGAAAAAUAGAGCACAAAAUGAGGUUGAAGAAAUAGGAAGAAGAUUGAAACAAAACAAUAGCAAUGAACAGUGGAUUAGGUUGUGUAGAAUCGGCUAUAAAAGAAGCCACAAACACGAUGUAUUGGGAGACAUUGGGAUUUAAGAAAAAAUAUCAAUUGAUACAAAAGAAAAAUUGCUAAAGGUGAUUUUUUUUAUUUCUUUUCCUUUUCAUUUUUAAGAUUUUAUUUAAAAAACAACAAAGAACAAAAAGGGGAAGGGGUUUACCUG
rnacentral:lncRNA from 1 species